CGUGGUUCAAUAACCAGGGCUCCUUGUUAUUAAUAACAUUGGAGUGGUUUUGAUGAUCAUGAUCAUGAUGAUUGAUACUGUUGCGGUUACGAUGAGAAGCGACCCAUUGAAAAGCAGUCCAGCAGUCUUCAUAUGCUGCGGGAAGAAGGUGUUCUGGGGCUAGCCUGUAUUCAAUGGAGACUGCGAGUACUUGAGACUGAGAGACCAAGAUGUUGAGGUACCUGUGGUCAAUAAAUGAGAAAGCGGACUCGAAGCAGAAGGCGCUGCCGUGGAAGUAGACCAAAACGGGGAGUUUUUGAUGGGGUUGGGCGAGUUUUGGGAGGUAGAGGCGAGCAGAUAUGGCGGGGUUUCGAGAGAUGGUUACGUCUUUUGACGAGACCCCGAAUUGAGGAUCCGGGUCAAGCGUUGGAGGCACGUAGGGUGAAUCCAUCAUCCGCUCAACCGAGCCAUCUUUGUAGACUCUGAUCAGUGGGAGGAGCUCUUUGGCUACUUCUUUGUUUGUUGAAGCAGCCAUUGGAAUUUUUGAGAGAGAUUACUGAAUUGGUUUGGAAAUUGCGGAAUUACUUGACAGGAUAUAGCGAAGAAAUGGCCCGAAUUGGUGCGUGGGACACAGUUGAGGUGACGAAGACCCAUUUCUGUUCUGAUUGCAAUCCAACUUAACAUGUCCAGACUAACAGUGCCACACAUUGACUUUACGCGUCUAGAGCACUGUGCGUGGGACACAGUUGAAGGCAGAAUCUUAUUUUGGAUUACAUUACGUUGAAUGAAAAUAAUCAUAAUUAAUUAAACUUUUAACAGUUACCGGGCACUAUUUUUUUUUCCUUUCAUAAAAGUCAACAAGAAAAGGAAUCAUGUGGAACUUUCAACUAUUAUUUUAUUUAAUAUAUAUGAAUAUCGAUGUUAUCUUUUUAACAAAAAAAAAAUAUCGAAGUUAUCUUAAUUAUUUGAUAUUAUGGCUUAAAGGCGUUUGACCAUGAAAAUAAGACAAAAUAAAAUUUAAAAAGAAACAUAAUGAUAACGAGCUUCAAGGUCACACAAACAUUGAACACGAAGAGAAGACUUUGAAUGAAAUAAUAGUCUACUGGGCCGGCGGCUUAGAGUGUGCAGCACGUGCAUGAACAUGAUUCGAUUGAUUGGAUCAACGACACAACGCCUUUUGUGAAGCCCAGUUAAGUCUAGCUUCGGUGCCACUUCGGCCUUGGCCGAAGGUGGGCUGCUGCCCUCACAAGCAUUGUGAGGGCAGCGAUUUUAGCCCCCACAAAAGUAUUGUGGGGGCUAAAUAUUUUUUAUAUUUUUAAAAAAUUAUUUUUUUUUGUGAAAUACGAGUGGAGUAUGGAUAUUUUUUUCUUGUGAGGGGUUAUUUGUUUGGGCAUGUACUUCAUAGAAUUCAAUGUCAUAAUAUAAGUAUUAAUUAUGUAUAUCUGAUUGUAAAUAUCAAUAUAAUAUCUCUGCUACAAUAACAGUUGUUGUAAAUAUCUGUGUAAUGCAGUAAUCUGAUGAUUAAUCAGUAUUCAAAAAAAAAAAAAGUCUAGCUUCGGUUGAUUGGAUCGAAUAUUUCACCUAUUUGUUGUUAUUAUUCCUGUUAUUAGGUGUGAAAAAUUGGAUGAAAAUUGCUAAACUCGGCAUUCGUAAACUAAAAUAAAAAAACCAAAUUAAAAAUCUAGACGAAUGGAAACAAGUUACCAACGUACGCAUGUGAUGCCUUUACUUUUCUGUAAUCUAAAAAAUUUGUUGAUUGCUGUGCCUUUAAUUUACUUUCUUUAAUUACAAAAAUUCCUCUCUUGAGACAAGUGAAGAAUCUGCAAAUUUUAAAACCACCGACACCACCUGCUGCCGCCACAAUCAUCAGCCUUCACACCCGCAGCCGACAGUGCUCUGUGGUGACGGCGGAAGCUUGCUGAUAUUGAAAGCUUGGUUUGAUAAGAGAACGAAUCAAAUGAGUUGGCGCUCGGAUGUCGUUAAAGUUUCAAGUAAUUUAUUGAUUCCGUCCAAAAGACACUACGUGUCACUCACUUUUAAUUACUGAGAAAACCGAUUUUUUAAAAGUUUUUUGUUUAAAAAACCGAACUUAACCGUUUUAAAACAUAUAGAAGGCCCAAUCUAGCCUAACAAAAUAGUUCGGUUCCGAAUUUACUCAGUCCACCCUUUUAAACCAAUGCAUGUGACAAUUUUAUAGAUACUUUAUGAAAAUUUUAAUAAUUUGUUGUCUCAAUCUUAUAAAUUGUUGGGCGCAUCAUAUUUAGCUGCAAAUAGCAAAUCCUAAAUAUAUCAUAUUUGGUUAUAGAAUUUAGAAUCUUCUUACUUUCUUAAUACAGUAUAAGGAAGAUAUAACAUUUUCUUUUUUAUAUAAAGCAUAACUAACAAUGGAUGUAAGCAAUAUCGAAGAGUACUAUUUCUUCAUUAAGCAAACAAUGAGGUAUUUCAAAAUAUCUCCUACUAAUUGAGCAAGAGUUCUUAUAAUUUCUUCCAAAAGAGAAUGAAUCAAAUGAGUUGAUAAGAAGAGAACGAAUCAAAUGAGUUGGCGCUCGGAUUUCAUUGUUAAAGUCUCAAGUAAUUUACCGAUUCCGUCCAAAAGACACCACGUGUCGCUCACUUUUAGUUAUUGGAAAAACUGUUUUUUUUUUUUGUUUUAAAAAACCGAACUGAACUGUUUUAAAAUAUAGAGAGUGCCUGAUCUAGUCUAACAAAACGGUUCGGUUUCGAGUUUACUCGAUCCACCCUUGUAACCGGUGCAUGUGACAAUUUUAUAGAUACUCUAUGAAAAUUGAAAAAAAAAAUUGAAUAGGUAGAAUAAACUAUAAAGUGUGUGUGUGUUUGUGUGUAUCUCGUGAUUUUAAUCGCGUAUAUGAAAAUUCAAUAAUUUUUACAAUUUUAUUAAAUAAAGAUGAAAUUUUUGACAUUUUGUUUUACUUCUCAUAGUAACUAAUUUUUUACAAGACAUAUAAUCUAGUUUACUAUAUUAAAAUUUUAUUAAUUUAUUGUCUCAACCUUAUAAAUUGUCGAACGCAUCAUAUUUAGUUGCAAAUAGCAAAUACUAAAUAUAUCAUAUUUGGUUAUAGAAUUUAGAAUCUUCUUACUUUCUUAAUAUAGUAUGAGGAAGAUAUUACAUUAUCUUUUUUAUAUAAGGCAUAACUAACGGUGGAUGUAAGCAGUAUCGAAGUGUACUAUUUCUUAAUUAAGCAAACAAUGAGGUAUUUCAAACUAUCUUCUACUAAUUGAGAAAGAGUUCUUAUAAUUUCUUCCCGUUUGAAUCAUCUCGCUGUUUGUUAUCCAUUCGACAUGAUUAUGACUUUAGCAUAAAUAUAAUGAAUCUUUGACUAACGAAUAAUACUUUGUAACUAGUACUUGUAGCACUGAGAGGACACGUGUUUUUUUCUAAGCUUUAAUUAGUUAGUCAAACCAUUUUUCAAAUUCAAUUACAUUUUUAGCCUAAUUAUCAUUGGAAAUACUCAAUAAAUUGGAUAAUCAUGUUACAUGCUAAAAUAAAAACUAUAAUUAUUUAUUUAAUUUCUAUAUUUUACAAGAAAUUCAACAGCGGAAAUGAUGCUUGAAGAUGGUAAACUCGGCUCAAAGAAAGUGAAGAUUGUGGGAAAGCCCUCAGACAUGAACUUGCUUUUUUCAUAUCUUUUUGGUUGAUGAAGAUCAUAUCAACUGCAAAAUUCAAUCGACGAUUUUGAAAUCAUAUGAAUCAAAGUGGUUAAAAUAGAAAACUGCAGUUGAUUUUUUUUUUUUUUGGACGUCACUUGUUUUAUUUUCUUUAGGGAAAUUUUAUUAUAAAAUAAUAUUUUAUAUUUACUUAUUUUGAUAAAUUCAUGAUAUUUAGGGUUAAUAUAAAAAAGGAUCAAAACCAUAAUUUUAUUCAUUCAACCUUUUUAAUUAAAUUUUCAUUAUAUAGAAACUUAGUUUCUCUUUAUCUAUCAAUUUUUUUGUUUCCACAUCGUCAAAGUCAUAAUGAAGCCGAUGUUCAACAUUAAAAUUUGUUAUCAGCCAGCCAUAUGAAAUGCGAGAAAAUAUUAAUGCUAUUUGAUAAAUGAUCUCGAUAUCUUGAUUCUUGUAGUUCUAACAAAUUAAAAUUUAUCGAAGAAAAAAUCGAACACAUUACAUGAUUAGAUGCAUCUAAGUAUUCCUAGAGCUGGCAUAAUAAGAUACGAAUCUGAUCGUACAUUACAUAAUAUGAAAUGCAAAGCCCGGGUCCCUUUUUUUAGUGUAUGCGGUCCGGGUAAAACUCGGACCGGAUUGGCCGGGUCCGGUCCGGGCGGGUUUUGUUUACACCCCUAAAUUCUAGAUCCGGAGUUUGCACGAUCAUUCUUCUUGAAAUGAAUUUAUCAUUAUCGCAUGUUUACAUUUUGAAGUGUUUCAAGGUGUAAUUAAAGUAUCCUCGCCUUAGGCUCAAGAUAUUAGAAGAGGGAAGACGAUAUGAGCGGAUCAAGGGAAGAAUCUCCCGAUUGGCUGCGUUCUUUCCAGGUAUAAUUCAUUUUAAUUUCUAAAUUUCUCAAUCUCUCAAAAAAUUUGAAAAGAUGGAUAUAUGUUCAAUGGAUCACACCUACCAAGUGAAAGUAUUUUGUUUUUUCUUUCAAGUUAGUCUCACAAAAAUUAUUUUUGGUGUCGCUGCUGAGCAUGAUUACAUAUUUGCUCGGCCACUGAUUAAAUUUACUUGUAUGAUCAGGCUCCAACUCAUUCUGUAUUGACGUUAUCAUCUGAUUCUGAUUCUGAUUCUUCUCACAAUGGUACAUCCUCAAUGGAGGACGAGAUUGAUAAUGGAUGCACUUCGCCUCAAAUUUUCUGCCGGGGUUUUAGCAAUAACAGCUUAACUACAUUGUUUUGUUCUUUGAUAAUAAUUUAGGGAACGGAGAUGGUGGGAAAAAUAUUGCCGAGCUGACAUUUGAGAAACAUAUGGAGCCUUUUGUAAGAAUCUCUGUGCCAUCACUGCUUGGGUAUUCUUCCAUCUGAUAAUUGCCUUAGGCCUUUUUGGUAUUGAGUAAAUUAUUUGGUAAAUACUAGCUAUUAUAGUUUGGAAGCUGAGUUGAUUUGACUGGACAAUUCUAUGAUAACAAACCUAUAUAAUAUCUUUACUAUUUUUGUCAAAUUAUUAUUAGAAAAUCAUAUUUACUAUAUACUAUCAAUUUUUAUUUUAUAGUCACUUUUUUUUUUCACAGCAGUUGUAGCUUUUAGCUAUUGUAACUUAAAAACUACAGCACCACAAUACUGAAUAAGGUCUUAGAUAUAGAGGAAUUUGCUAAGUUCCUUAUCAUGGUUGUCUUUUGACGGUCUAUUAUAGAAGGUCAUCAUUCAAAAUACCAUAAAUAAAUAAAUAAAUAAAAAUAUUUCUAUUUUGAUUAUCUCCAAAGAGCUUUCAGCCUCUUGAGCAAUUAAUUCAAGUGACAAAAAUUGGUACUUUUCUAGAUAACUCUUUUCAUCAAAACACGAGGACCUUAGUCAGUCACGAAAAUAUUUGGUCACUGUUGUCUUAAUAAUAAAAGCAACUCUCAUGCAAAUAAGCAAAUUUUAAUUUAUUUAUUUAAUUAUUUUGUGUGUGUAUGUGUCCUGCAAGUGCUCUAGUUUUGAGAAUUUAUCAAACAGUUGUUGCCUGCUUAAUAUUUUUUUACCAAUGCAUUUCAGUGGGAACAUUAUAAGUUUUAUAAUGAAUUUCAACUAUUUCUCCAAGAAGAUGGAAGGAAAUUGGUAUUUGUGGAAAAUUAAACUCAUUCACUCUGGUGGGGAACCUUUUGUGUGUUAGGAUUUUAUUGAUGUAAUUGAAGCUGAAAACUUGGAGGGCCUGAUUCUGGUCCUUUGUUCAUAUUCGAAUGCAAAUUUGUGGCAGAGGCAAACUGAUUUAGGAUGCACAAACUUUGAUUGGAUUGUACUAAUAAAAAACUCUUAGUUCUUCCAGGCAAAAGCUUCUUUUGACUAUUAAGAUACUGCUUUGGCUUUUUCUGUGGUUAAUUUUAGGCUUAUAUGGAGCUCAUAAUUGUAUGUUACUGUAGGGGUAGAUAAAUUUUUAAGGGUCUUACUGGUGCUCCAAAAUAAGAAAGUUGUUAGAUUAUUGUUAGAUUAUCCCUGUUGGUUAUAUUUGAGCUUAUAAAGAAAGUCGUCUGAUUUGACAUUCUUGUGAGUUUAUGGUCAAGAAAUCUAAUGGAAUGCUAGGCACCUCGUUUGAAAUUUGCCACUGACUUAACUGGAACUAGCGAGCAAGUGUCAAUGUGCUUUUGGGUGCUUAGUUCUUACAUUUGCAACUAGUUAAAUUUAACAUGGAAUUUAUGCUUCUUCAAACACUAUUACAAUCUUCAUAAGGCUGCCUCAAAAAAUAUGUGGUAUGGAACUCCUUGAAAUACAUUGGAUUAUUGGUUUAUUUAACGUGUUCAGAUAUCUUGAACCUCUUCAGAUUGUGGUGGAAACAUUAGAAACAUAUGUUGAGCUUGCUAUCUUGUGUCGAUUGAUGACAACUUCAUUUAUUGUUGAGCAGGCACCAAAAAGUUCAAUUUUGGCAUUAUCAUCAGAUUCUGAGUCAUGCCAGAAUAGUAGCCUCUUAAGGGAGGAGAAAGCAUUUCAGUUCCAAGAGAAAGAAAUGAACGAGGAUGCAGCUCUGACUGGUAGAGAAGAAAAGACUUCAGUUAAGAAGCUUUCAAAAGAAAAGUCUCCUAAGAAAGGGCUAAAAUCACCAAAGAAAGAAAAGGAUGUAGUUAAUAAUGUGAAAAGAAAAGGUAUGAAGUCUAUGCGAUGGUGACAGAUUCUAAUUUGAAAGAUUGAUAGUUAAUCAGGAUAUUGUCUUAAAUCUGAAUCUUUUGUGGACAGAAAAUGGACUGUUUUCAUUUCACCAAAAAAGAAAUUAAAAAAUAAAAGGUACUUUAUUUGGAGUUCUUAUGCAUGUCGGUUUAUAAUGGUGUAGGAAACAAUGACCAUGAAGAUGCUGAGGAAGACAUAGCGGAGAAGCGUAGUAUGCUUAAUGUGAGAAUUUUAUAGUAGCAGCUGUGACGGUUGCUCCUCUAAUCUGUCUUAUUCAACUCAUAGUUUUAUUAUUUUCAGGUCUCUACCUCGACAUUGCCUUUGGUGAUGUCAGAGAAACUCCAACGUACUAAGGUAGCACAUCUUGUUUAGAUUUUGGCUUCCUUUUAUCUGCCUUUUCUUUUGUGCUUGAUUCACUAGUCUCAAACUUUCCCAUAAUAAUUUCCUAGUUAGACAUGAAAUGUAUCUUUAUGCUGCAGAAAUUGUUACUUUUGCUGAUGUUUAAAUUGCAAUUCUUCAACGGAUGAGAGAGGAGGAUUUUCUUGCAAAUAGUGCUGAUGGAUGCUUAUAAAAAUGACGGCCUUUGGUGCUUUUUUGCCCAACUAAUUAAUCUUAUUAGAUACUUAGGAGUAUCAUCAGAUGCUAGUAAACUAAUUUCUCUUUUACUAGAACAUGCAAGACUGCAUCAAAUACUUUUUCUCAAUGUCUAUCUCUCGGGUGUUCAGGUAUAUGUAGAUAAAAAACUGCGGAUUUGUUUCUGGUUUUCGUGACUGAAUUUUUUGAUAUAUUGUUUGUCUCUGCAUGUUCUCUUUUGUGUUUGUCUCUGCAUGUACACAUCUAGCAUACAUGUAAUGAAUAGAAGCUUUGUUGUUUAUGCAGGCACUUGUGGAGUGUGAAGGGGAGUCUGUAGAUCUGAGUGGCGAUAUGGGGGCUGUUGGAAGAAUACUAGUUCCUGGUACUGAUGAGGGAAACCAUGAAAUGUUCUUGGACUUAAAAGGCAUGUUUUUUUUCUAGUUCAAUUUUUUUUUAAUUCAUAAAUUUUAAAAUGAUCUCUCUGUCUUUUUCUUUUUAAAAUAAGAACAGAUAAUCAUCCCUAUUUUAUGUAAGGCAGGACUGUAAACUCACAUGGUUUAAAAUUGAAUUAAGUUUACCAGCAUUGGACGCAUUUAGCAAUAUACAUUUUUGCUCCUGUUUUAUUUUUAUUAUUUUUGGGGUCUUGCUUACCUCCUGUUGUAUUGUUUUCCCCAUGUCUUGUCUACCUGCUCAGCUGCUCCCUUGUUGUUUCCGCUUUAUUGUUUGUUUAUAUAAAAAUUACGCUUUCAAGGUCUACUUUGACAUGUAUUCCUGAUUGUUGAUUAUUUAUUUGCAUUCUCGGUCUGCUGUUGACUGGUUUAGUGUUUUUUCACUCUCAGGAACCAUAUACAAAACAACAUUAGUUCCUUCCAGGACAUUUUGCAUUGUACGUUAUCAAUCUCCUUUGAAAUUCCUCAAAUUGGAUAUUAUUUCACCUACUCAAAAGAAAUGGCGAUGAUAAUAAUAGCAUGAUAAUAAUAAUAAUUAAAUCCCCUUUCCAUUUUCUCUGUUUCAAUUAUGGUCCAUAAAAAGUUAAUUUUUGCUGAGAUAGUAAGAUUGUUUAAUAACUUAGCUUUCUUUCUCUUCAGGUUAGCUUUGGCCACUCAGAGGCUAAGGUUUGUUGCGAGUCCUCUCCUUUUUCAUUUAUACUUUUGGAUUUUCCUAUUUUAAUUUUAUUAUUAUCCUUUUGUCUGUCAUAUAUAUUUUUCUUCCUCAUUAGUGAUUUUCCAAAUAGUUUAUGACUUUGAUAUUGCUAAGACAACCGCGGUACUGUGAUAAAUUUAAUCCAACUUAUUGACAUAAUUUUAUAUUUCUUGAUCAGAUAGAGGCCAUCAUGAAUGACUUUAUUCAGCUGAAGCCACAGUCUAAUGUUUAUGAAGCUGAGACUAUGGUUGAAGGUCAAGAUUUUAUCACACUUUCUCUAGAUGCGCACACACGCACUCAUAUAUGUGCAUUUACUCGAUUACCCUAAUGUUUGUCUUAGAUUCAUCCAGAUAAACCAUUUUCAAAAGUUCAUUGAGGACCCAGAAGUUUCACUGUUUUAUCAUUAAAAUAGUUCAAAACAAAUUAAUCACUCGGAUACAUGUUCAUUUUAAAACUUAUCCCUUAAUAUCCCGCUAAAUAAUAGGAGUUGGUUAAACUUAUUGUCAGACACAUAUCUGGCUAAAAUCCAAUGUUUUUCCCCCAUUUUUUCGUUUCUCUAAGAUGGUGUGUGAAAAUGAUUGCUUUACUAAUUCUUAAAUCAAAAUGUAAUUGAUAAAAGAACAUUGCUCUAAAUUGAAAAAAUUGCCCCAGGUAUUUGAAUUAUUUAUUAAAAUUGGCAUUUAGGCAAUUGGACUUAUAACAACUAUAUGUUUUGUACAUUUAAAUGUGCAUGCUGACAACCACUUCACUUCUUAUUAUAUCUAUGUCCUAUUGAGAUCUUACCUUCUUCCUCACAAUUCAUGAAUGCUGGUCCACUCACAAUGUGUGAACAUUGCAAUAGAAAAUUUAUUGAAGCAUCUGAACUCAACUAGUAUCAGUGACGGUGGGAUUAUUAAGCUAAAAAUUUUAGAGUCAAUUAAACUUUUAAACUAAGGGGUUCUCAAGUAAUAGACUUUGGAAGUAAUCUAGAGGUUGACUUAAAGUUUUAAACUAAAGGGUGCAUAAUUUUUUUUUUUUGGGGGGGGGGGGGGGGGAGAUUGGGCCAAACUCAUAUGAAAGGUGUCUAGAACUUUUUCAUUGUUUAAAUGACAAAAGUACCCAGGGAUUGUUUUCUUGGUUAUCAAUUUUCCUUUUUUUUUAUAAAUUGCUUUAACAUAUUUUCAUCUAAAUAGAAAAGUGUAGAUAAACUUCCCUGUUAUUUAUUGGAAUGAGAAUAGGUCUGAACUGUUGUCAUUAUUUCCUCUCGCAAAAUAUUAAGUUUAUUUGCUUUUUACCACAUACAAACGUGUGUAUAUGUAAACUGAAUUAUCAUAAACUACAAUAAAAUUGAUUAACGUGUUUCUAAUUUAGAAUAUUAAAGGAUUGUAUUCACUUGAACAUGAUUUAUUUUUGAUAAAAUACUAUCUUAUUUACAUUUGUUAAGAUGUUUAUAAUAAAUUUAACAUUUAAAAUUUGUAAGGAUGCAAUUAUAAAAGUAUAGUGUUCAGAAACUAACAACUUCAUACUCAUUAUUAGAGAUUCAAACUAAAAACCAAGCAUGUCAUUCAAAUUCAGAAAUUUAGCUCUUUUUAGAAUUCAGAUUUAAAAAAUAAAAUAAAAUUGCCACUGUAAUGACUAAUUUUCCAAAAGGGUUAUCUUGGUGAAUUUGAAUGAAGCAUGGGUGCCUGAGUGAAAUUGAGGACAUUUAUACAGAAAAUGUCUUGUUAUGGCAAUUGUGGUUGUGUAUCAUUAUUUGAUAUGUCCACUUCUAAUCGACAUUUGUCCUUCACGUUCAUUGAUUUCAUUUGAGCAGGAACAUUGGAUGGUUUCUUAUUUGAUUCGGAAGAUGAAUCUGACAAGCUUGCUAAAGCUAUGCCUCAUCAAAUUGAUCAAAAUGAUGGCAUUGAAGAACAAACAAAUGAGAAGACCAAAGUGAAAUCUGUAAGUUUCUGGACCCUUUCAAAUAGUUACUAAUGCAUCUAUUAUGAAUCCACAACUUAUAAUCUUUUGCAUUGUGUUAUUGUAUGAAUUUUUUAAAAGCAGGGGCCUGCUGGAAAGAGAGGUACGAGUGCUGGAGGACCGCCACAGCCACCAAAGAGAGCAAGAAAGAGAACUAUAGUUUCAAAGAAAGCUAAGGCGAAGAAAUGAGGCAUACAAUGUCUGUUUUAUGUUUCUUAUAUCCUGCUAAUGCUAUGGCUGUAUUAGUCAGAUGUUAGUUAUUUAGGUGAAAUGAAUCAAGAGUAGAAAUCAGAGGUUAAUAAUUUCAGGGGGAUUGUUUUUUGUCAAGCAGCUUAAAUGUGAAAAGAGUAACAUGUGAGGUUUUCGCAAUUCCAAUUAUGAUGGAUUUUCUGUUCGACACAAUGAUGCUGUGCCUACUUUACUUAUAGGCGUGCUUGUUGUGAAACAUGUUUCAAAAUGUUUGGACCAUCUGUAUUUUAUUAAAUUUUGGUUGACUCACUGUGAAAACUGCAAAUAUGGUAUUUCAAUUAAAUAAAUAAAUAAUGUGUGCAUUAUUCCAUAUUCUUCCAAGAUUUGACAGAACUCUAGACGUAUGAAAUCACAGUGAACUGCUAGACAUGGACUUUGUAAAAAUUGUGUGUUACAUAAUCAGCUCAGUACCAAUUGGAAUCUUUAAGUUGUAUUUUUUCUCGGCCUUCAAUUUAUUUGCACUUGCCAUAUUAAGUAAGGCUAAUUAGUUAGACCAAUACAACGUAUAUAAACCGGUCAGAGAACCAAAACCAGGAAAAUGAAAAUUGACACUUUAAGGGGCUGCAGGUGGAGGUUAUUCGAUGAGGAAACCAUCUGUUGAGCCUUGGUACUGCUGGGAUCUUGAAUUGAUGGUGGUGAAAGUGAACCGUUCGAUCCCUUGAACCUGUGUACAAAAAGAGAUGAGGUUGUUACGGUCUGAGAAUGAAUGCAGUUGCCAAAAGCUAUAAAAUCGAGCGAAAGAAUCCAUCGGAAUAGGAUGCAUACCCACGGCUGCUAGUGUUAGGGCAGAAUAUAAUAGCAUAAUCAUAUGCCUUGCAUGUGAAAAUGCUUGUCCCAUCGUCAAAGGCAUAGCUAUAAGCCCUUGGACAAGCUCGCUUAAAAAUUGAUGAAUAAAAGGAGGGGCUGCAUGUGGUUGGAUUAGCAAACUCCCCGCUACAGCAGUAUUGAUCUAAUCCAAAUGCUUCACAUGCACUCUUACAUGCAAUCACUUCCCCUUCCCUUGUACCUUCUCCACCCACCACUUGAAGUUCUUUUGGGCAACCUGAUUACAAGUGAUUUUAAUUCGGUCAUUUUUCAAUAUUGCUGACUGAAAAAUGUUAGAUCAAGUUGAUGAAAAUCGAAAUCUUACCCAUGUUGAUAUCUGAAGCGCAGCCUGUGGCGUUACAAGCACCAUAAACCCCACGUGGUUCAGCAACAAGAGGGAGGUUGUAGCCGUCAACAAUGCUGACAUCAUAAAAAUCUUUGUCAUUGCCCUUGCCGAGGGUUAUUUCGAAGAGUGAUGCAGGUGGGGUAGCACCACUACCAUCACAUUGGAGUCUUCCUCCACAGUCCCCAGUUUGACAAGAUCCAACUCCAGACUCGUCAAAACUGCAUCCUGUUCUUGCCCAAAUCCGACCAGACCACCCCGGAACAGAUGGAAUUCUUACGCUUUGCCCAGAUUCCAACUGGAAGCCGGUUGUUAGAAGCUGAGGGGUCCCUGAACCAGCAAGUGUACCAGGCCAUAUGGUGUAUGGGCAGUUAUUUGUUAUGGUGAAUGUAGAAGCGUGAGAGGGUAAGAAGAAGAGAGAACCGAAAAUAAAAAAGGCAGCAAGGAAUGGCCAUGACGUUAUUGUCAGCAUUGGAUUGGCAGCAAGUUUUCAGAAGCAAAUUUUUAAGUGGCAGUUUGGGAUGGAGAUGCAUUGAUCCCUAGCUACAUUUACAUAAGAUUGUAGGUUUAGGAUUCUGCCUGUGCUAAAGGGCUACGUUGCCGCAAGAUGACCUUUUUGGGUUUAGUACAUUUCUUUUCAUCUUGGAUGGCCUCUUUGAGAAGCAAUUCCUUUCUUUAGCCGCAGCCACUGCAUAAAGGCAUGACCCAAGAUAGGUACCCGCCAGCAAAAGAAACAUUACAGUUUCUUGAUUGAUUAGAAAGGGGAGCAUUUGCGAGUUAACUUUUCAUUCCUUGCCAAAAAGAAAAAAAAGGCAAUACUUGUUUAUCUUUUGAAUUUUAAAGAUUUAAGAAAAACAUAUAAGUGAACAUAAUCUUUCUGCAUAUAAAAAUUUAAGCAUCUCCUUUUUCAUAAAUCUCAUCAUUGACUAUCUUUGAAUUUGGAGGAAAAAUCUCACUGAUAACACAUCAUUUUUCGCUGUUUGUGGCUAUUUCAAGAAGUGGGAGACACGCUGGUUAACGAAACUUGAAGAAGAAUCAUAGAUGCAAUCAGGUGCCUGUUAGGAAUUUAAUUCGAUCCAUGCUUUCAAAUUAGACUUUCGGUAAACUCUUUCGAAGGUCGAUUUGUUGUGGCGGGAAUUUGAUGUGCGAACGUGUCGAAAUCUGAUUGGAUGUGUUUUGGUUUGGGCCGGACUGUUCUUGCUUAAAAAAGGAAAAAGGACAUUCAACCCCCCAACGUUUAAGAAAAGGGACAAAAAACUCCUCAACGUUUUAAAAAGGACUUAUAAUCCUCUUUCCGUUAACAAACACUGUUUGUUUUAACAGUAAAUUUAUUUUUAAUUUUUAAUUACUAUUAUACCCUUAUAAUAAAUAUAAAUUAAUAUAUUGAUUUGAGACAUGUCACAAUUAAUAAUUUUUUUAAAACUAAAAAUUGAGAUACAAUUAUAUUUUUGCCCAAAUUAUUUGCUAUAAAUUAUACCUUUCUAAUGAUCAAACCUUUCAUAUGUGAUUAUUACUAAUAAAACGAAAUUUGAUUAAACUCUUUUUCUUUGAGGAAUCAAAACCAUAUUAUUAUUGUUAGAAAGGUAUAAUUUAUAGUAAAUAAUUUGGGCAAAAAAAUAAUUGUAUCUCAAUUUUAAGGUUUUAAAAAAUUAUUAAUUGUGAUAUAUCUUAAAUUAAUAUAUUAAUUUAUAUUUAUUAUAAGGGUAUAAUAGUAAUUAAAAAUUAAAAAUAAAUUUACUGUCAAACAAACGGUGUUUGUUAACGGAAAGGGGGUUAUAAGUCAUUUUUGAAACGUUGAGGGGUUUUUUGUCCCUUUUCCUAAACGUUGGGGGGUUGAAUGUCCUUUUCCCCUUAAAAAAUUCCUCGCGGAUAAGAUUAAACCCGAUUAAUCUUUACAGCGGAUGGCUUACUAAUAAGAAAAUGGUUUGAGAUGUUUGUAUUUUCAAAAUUAUUUUCAAUACUCAUACUUUUAUAAAAUUAUUUAUUAUAAAAAUGGCCAAGCAAUAAAUUAUUACUGAAGACAAUCUACUCUAAGUAAAUAUAACAUUAUUUACUCCAAACACCACACACUUGUUUAAAAAUUCAUAAUUUUAAAAUAAAGCAAUCUCUUACAUUUUCCAAAGAAAGAUUUUAAUAAAAAAAAAUGGAUUUCGACGCAACUGAGUCAUCACAACAAGAUUAAUUUCUUUAGUUUUGUCUUGAUUCAAAUCCAACAUCAAUCAACUCAAUUCUAAUUCAUUAUUUAACCCUCUACUUUUCUCUUUGUAGGCUCACAUCAAUAUGAAUAUCAUCGCCAAAUCUUUAAGAAUCAGUCAGUUGUCCGACAAAUCGGACAAUUAGGAUUCUUCAAAAGCCAUGAAUCAACCAUUGAGAAUGAAAGCUAUGGUUACGUAUAGGUAGCAAUAUUAAUACAUACUCGUCAUCUUGGUUGAAGUUGUCCAAGCUAACCGCACAUUGAUACUUCAUUUGCUCUUUGCUAAAUAAUAAUAGCAAGGCUUCUAGUAAAUUUCAAUUUAAAAAAAAAAGGGUGUAACCAAUUAUUCUUUUAAAUUUGCAGAAUAUUUUUAUGUGUGUGCAUAAUAGAUAAAGAUAACUAAUUUAAAAUUUAAGUGAUGAUAUUUUUAGGCUUUUUAAAGAUUGUAAAUUAUAAAAGAUAAUUUUUAAAAUUAAUGGAUGAAUGUAUAAAGUAAUAGAGUGUUCUGAGCAUUUUAUAGAAUGCAAAUAAUCUCACUCUUUGAAGAUCUUAUAUGUUUCCAUAUGAUAGGUUUAAUAAGUAAUUUGUUUGUUUCAAAUAGUCUCUCCUUCGAUAUAAUUAUCUCAUAAGUUAUUUUCAUAAUUAAGUUAUUUAAUAACAAAAUUUAUUCUUUUAUGUUAUACAUUACUGAAAAUGACAAAUAAUAUUAUUUUGAAAAAUAGUUAGUGGUCACUUUUCCAUAGCUGAUGAUACAAACAAAGAUGUAAAUUAAAUGAUGAAGAGUAUAGUGCAAUGAAAAUGAGGUUGGGCAUCCAAUGGGGGAAGACCAUCCUAACUAAGGAUGGCAAUUGGCUAGGUCAAGAUCGGACUUUACUAUAACUGAAGUAAAGGGCUUGAGCCUAAAAAAGCUCGGACCUUUGAAUUUUGGGUCGAGGUAACUUGACUCAAUUUGAGUUAAGAUCAAGCUCUGGUGCCAUUAUUUUUUUAAUAUUUUUUAUUUUGCUAAAUAAAUAUUUUAAAUUUAAAAAAAAUGAGCAUAAUCUCCCCUAAUGUAUGAAAAUUUAAAAGUAAGAACAACAAAUGAAAAAUAACAGCAAGAACAGCAAUUAAAAAAAAAAAAUCCAAAGCUACAGUUAAAACAACAAUCAAAAUAACAAGGGGCCUCAGACAUCAAAGACCGAUAAGAACAUCCAAUGAAAAUAAGAAGGAACCUUAGAUAGGGUGGACUGCGGCCCAGCGGCGGUGUGGCUAAUUUUGGUGGCUGGUUUGUUUAUUUUGUUGGCUGGUUGGCUACCAGUAGCACAGCUGUCGUGGCGUGAGUUCGUGGCUGGUUGGUUGGUUGGCAGUACAAAAGAACUUUUGGUGAAGAAUUUAAAAUUGGCAGAAAAUUACUAUUUUUGUGAAUAUACCAAAAAUUGGCAGUACAUUGUAAAUUAACAAAGGAGCAUAUUGUUAACAAGAACUUCUGCAGCUCAAGUAAAUGUACAUUGUACUCUUUUUUCUUUGACCAAAUUUUAUGCUAUUAAGUUUUAUUGACAAGGUUUUAACGAAGUAGUAUCAAAGUACAUCUGGCUCCACUUCUUAUGAGAAUUAAAUGUAACCUAAGUGGGGAGUUUAAGGAGUCUCACAACUAUGGCCAUUUCAUUAUUUUGCUUUUGUAAAGACUUUCUAUACUAGAUCUUUAUUAAAGUCCCUAAAUGGUGAAGUUCAAAGGAAAAUGCUGUAGACUUGGUGAACUCUCACCAUUUCCAAUAGUCCCACAUCGAAAAUGUAAUCCCCCCACCCAGGCUUUUGAUUUUUCCUACAAGAAUGCUUCAUUUCCUUCUGCUUAGUGCCUUCUAGGCUCACAGCUUGUAGGGGCAUUUUGAUAUCCAACACCCAAACAGGUAAUUCUUCAAGAAGAUUUGUAGAUUUGUGAGAUUUGUCAUUUUUUAAAACCUUGUUAAUGAUAAGAAAAAGAAAAAGUAUCAUAAUAUAAAUAUGAAAUAUGUAAAAAUAAAAAAUAAAAAAAAUUAUGAAAUAUGCAAAAAUCUUAUGCAUGUACUUAUGGUUCUAACUAAAUCAUAACUUAGAAUUUCAAGUUUUGAUUUUUAAUGAGGCUAGAACAUUAGGUUCUCACCCCCUCAUUUGUGUUGUAAACUUUAGACUAUAACAAUAACAUUCAAAGACAAAUGUACGAAAUAACAAAUCUUAAUUUAUUAAAAUUAAAAUAACUUGAUGAGCAGUUAAACCAUCCACAUAAACAAAUAGAUUAAACUAGCCAUAUUGACAGAAUAAUAACAUAUUAACAAUAUAAUAACAAUAUAGGCAAUAGUAUAGAACUAGCCAUAUAAAUUAAAAAUUGUUACAAAUAGUAAACAAUUAAAUUAACAGCAUCAACUAACAACAUCAAAACAUAAUAAUAAAGCAUAAAAAAACACAAGUGGUAAAAGUUAAACUAGUCAUGUCAAAUCAACUAUCAUGCUAAAAUUGUGCUAUAAAUUAAAUAGAUAAAUAAAAUUUUUAGACUAAACAAAAUACUUUAAACACCUUGUUAUUAGGCUUAUAAGAAGCCAAUUUUUAUUCACACCAAAACAAUCCAAUGAAUCACAUUUUUCGAUGUGGGAUUGUUGCAAGUGCUGAGAGUUUAUGAAAUCUACAACACUCAAUACAUAAUGCCCAUGAAAAUCAAACCUAAAAAAUCAAAGCCGCCAAGUCUCAAGCAUAGAGGUUAAAUUCAAUAAUUUUGAGUCGAUACAAGAAAUAAAGUACCUGAACUUCAUAGAAAUGUAUACAUUAAGCACCUCCAUGAUACCCAAUAAUUUUUGCACUUCAAUGAUAAAACCUUGAAAAACUUUGGCUACUCUUUCUCUUUAAUCUCUCCUAGCCGAGCAUACAAAGGAAGAAGGAGCUAGGUCUAUUUUCUUUUUCUUUUUAUGGUAAGGAUUUUUGGUAGUGGGCUUGGUUGGGUUUAAUUAGGCUUGACUUAAAACAAUUAGAACUUGGCCCAAUAACAAUCUUAAGCCCAAAAUCAAGUAAGUCCAAGCACUAAUACGAUACCAUUACCCACACUAAUAUUAUUGCUUGUAACAAACAGCAGCAGCUAUAAAAGUAACGUGACUGAAAAUUAAAUACCAAUUAAGAAAAUAACCCCUAGUCAUCGCAAUACUAUCAAAAUAAUAUUAAUAAUUACUCACUUGAUUUCUGGGUAUUAUAGAUUUUAAAGCCUAAAAAUCUCCAACAAGAGAGGAAACAAUAUAAAUACUCUAAAUCAUCUAUUUGAACCAAUUAAACAAAGUUUCUUGAGCUUUGAUGGUUGCUUACAAAGAGUUGCAUCCUCAUCAAGCCAAAAUCACUACAAUCAGCAAUUAAAGGUGAGAUUAUGAUAUUUCUACGAAAAUAGAAAGAAAGUUAAAAAAAAAACGGUGGGAAAAAAAAGCUAAAAAUGGUAAAAAGAAAGUUUGUGAUUAAUGAAGCAAGCUAUUGUAGUUAAAAGAGAAUAUGAAAAUCUACUACUUAACCACUUACAAGGAUAAGAUAUUUUCAGUGUUCCAAAAUUUUGAUCUUCUCCAGACAGUUUUCCAUGUGUUGAGUAACAUCGGCUGAGAGACAUGCUCCAACGGCAAGCUUAUAAUGUUCAAAUUUCACCUCCUCACACUUCAAUGCAGCAUUCUUACAGGCCCUGAUGCUCCCUACCAUACAAAAAGAAAAUGCCCCUUCAUUCUCACAACAACAUAGAAAUAGAUGAAGUUCAGAAUUCACUGUUCCAAAAUCAAUAAAUGUGGUAAUAGCUGCCACAAUGAGUUUAAUGAGUUUUUGAUGAGACAAUCCACCAUGUAAUAUGAAAAUUAUUCAAUUCACAUAACUGCUCGCCCAUUCAAGAAAAAAAAAUUUAAAAAUUAGUACACAUGGAGCUCAUUAGAAUAUCUAUUUCAAACUAAUUUAUGUAAAGCCCCAUAGAAUUGAACAGCACAACUGCAAAUUUGCAUGCAAAAUAUUGGAGAACUUACUGCAGACGAUCCUGCAUAUGCUUUGCAGCAAAAUGUAGCAACAAAGAAAACGAACUUCAAGAAGCAUGGUCGUACAAAGGAAAAUUUACAAAUAUCUUCUCAGUUAGAUAACAAUGCUGAUGCUUUAAACAUAUUAAAAUACUUCUAUAAAACAAAAUCACAUUGAAGAAUUCAAAACUUUGUUCUCACUAUCUUUUUCCCUCAAAUUAACCACGAAAGUAAACUAUUUAGAGUUGUAUGAACUCACCACUUAGGUCCAGUACGUUAAAUAGAACCAGGCAAUUUCCUAUGCUUCUAACCAUGGUAAUUGCAGACCAAACCUUCUGACAAUCCUCCCUUGAGGCUCUGAUGAUACAUAGCUUGGUGAUGGGAUUCACAUACUUGACUAUACACACAAAAUAGAUGUUCAAAGAUAAGAAACCAGGAAAAUGUCUUAAAAGUUUUAAGGGGAAAUUUGUGCCGAACAAACAAGGACUGGUGACAUCUCACAUACCUUGGAAUGAUCCAAGCAAAGAAGCUAGACCACACUCGCCGAAGUUUACAAGAAUGCUGUCUCUAAUUGCUUUCGACACAUUAAAUUGGGUAAGUAUAACAGGAUCAUCCACGGGAAGCUCUUUAUUUGGGUCCAAAAAUACCUCCACUACCAUAUACCUAUUUUUAAAUCCAACCAUGAUCCUUUAUCUGUACAGAAACCCAAUGUUGUCAGUUAAAGCAAUACCUCAUUAAGAUGGACAAUUUGCUCAAUAAUAGAUUACUUCAUUAAACAUCUGAAAUUAAAGAGUAAUGUUUCCAGAUCUAUGUAAUUUCGGAUGUAAUUGAAAGUCCAUGUGGCAAUGGGCACAAAACAGCAAUCCAUUUGGAAGCAAUGAAUUUGGUCGGUUCUAUGACAUUUAAAGUCUCAUAGAUUGCCUAACAAAUAACCAAAAAAAAAAAAAAUUCUUAUGCAGAUAAUUAAUCGGAAAUAGUAAGUUUGAAUCGGAGCCCAGAGAAUCUCCAAGAAGUUUUCUUGGGGCUGCACAAUGAUGGUAAGUCAUGUUUGUUGUAAUCAUAACUUAAUAUGUUGUAUCAAACUCUCUUGAGAAUCCAACAAUUACCAGAAUCAUAACUAAUACAAAGUUUUAUAUAGAACGUUUUUCAAGGUAUGUAAUGACAGCUUUUUAGAGGUACUGCAAUUACCACUAUCAUCACACAAUUACAAUUGUUUACUAAGAAGACAAUCGACAUUUAUUUUAAACAUCUCUAUGCGCCAUCUUCAAGAAACAGUGAACUUAUUUUCCUUUUAUCACAUAUUUAUAAACAGAACAUAUCACAAAAAAAAUACAUAUUAAAGAACCUCGCCUUGAAUGAAUGAAGACAAAGAAAACUCUGUACUUUCUUGUAUUUAAAAGAAAGUACAACUAUGUACUCUUUAUUGGGUAAUGAUAUCUAAGAUAGCAGACUUCUGAUUCCUUCAUUUUUCUGAUCGUAAGUGUUAGAAAAGACUUUCUAUACUAAAAUUUUUCAAAAUAAAGAGUUUGCCAUAGGACUAGGCAGUUUGGGUUCGGUUUGGUUUAACCAAACCAAUCAAAAAUCAAUCAGUUUGAAAGAUUUCAAACCAAACCGAAUUAACAUCAGUACAUCCAAGUCAAAUGAAUUUGGUUUUUGGUAAAGAGAUGAAAAUCAGUCCCACUGGCAAUGAAGAAACAGAUAAAAGCAAAAAGCACAAGCACAAAAUUGAGAUCUUGGAAUCUCACAACCACCAUCAAUCUAGAUUAUGUGGUAGAUGAAACACUAAAAAGCUAAAGAAAUCGAAAAAAGAAAAAAGAACAAGAACAGUAGGGUUGGCAAUUUACGGGCCUGGGCCUGCCCAUCCCUUGAGCGGGCUGGGCGCUUUUAUUUUUUUAUUAUAAAUUUUUAAUAAAGCUAUAAACAUUUAAAAAAAAAAACCUUAAAUUAUAGAUGAUUAUCCAAUGCACAAAACACUUGCAACACGACAGAAUAAGCUAUAAUUACUAAUUAAAAAAAAACCUAAUCCAACAUACCAGUAUACCACCAAAAUUAGAGCAUGUAACAAUUUGCCAGCAAAGUUUCUUUCUGUUAAAUUAUAAAUACUACAAUUUCAAAUUUGUUGAAAAUCUAAAUGCAUAAACAUGUAAUGCAAUUUAAAAAUCGACAUUGAUGCUUCCUAAUCAAAUUGUAACUUGAUUGUGAAGAUGGAUUAUUGAAAAAUUAAUACAGAAAUUAAUAUGUAUAUAAUAAUUAACCAAAUUGUAACUUUAUAAAUUAUAAUCACAUUAAUAUUUAUUGCAAAAUUAAUACAGAAAUUAAUAUGUAUACAAUAAAAAUUAAUACAGAAAUUAACCAAUAUUGGAACUUUAUAAUCACAUUAAUAUGUAUGUAUAUAUAGAUUCAAAUUUAAUACAGAAUUUUAUUUUCUACAAGAAAUGAAAAAAUCGAAAGUGGGGCUGAUUUCUACCUCAAAGAUCACGUGGGCAUGGUGUGUUCAAGGCAGAGUGGGUUCGCUGCUGCUGGCAUCCCUGCGCAGUCGCUUCUGGUGCUAGGUUCAACGCGUAUUGGUGCUCGCGACUCGCGUGACUAGCUGGCUGCCUGCUGGGUGCCGGGCUCGCGACUCGAGGUGCAGCGUGCUGGGCUUGCGAAGAUCGGCGGUGAUGAUGGCUGCGAGUGAGGACUGAGGGUGUGGCUGUCGGCUGUCGGCUGUCGAGGCACGGUCGGCACCUGGUGUGUGGUGUCUGCAAUGUUUGUUCUACUUCUUUUGUUUAACUUAGUGUUACUGCUUACCAAGUUAGGAAGAAUAGGUUACAGGGUGUUUUCACUUUUGUUUUUGUGUUUUUUUUUUUUCUUUUUUUAAUUUGAUUUUUUUUUUAAAUUUAUAUAUAAUAAAGUCUGGGCUUGUCCCGGGAUUUUACAUCAGCCCCAUAAGCAGGCCCACUAUGUGAGGGCCUUAAUUUUUUAGUCCAUAUCCUUUAUUUUAAGCAAUGGCCUGGGCUUAAGGCCGAGCUUUGUUUUUUUUCCUCUCUCUCUCUCUCUCUCUCUCUCUCUCUCUCUCUCUCAAGCCUAACUAUCGAACGCAAAGGCAACAAUUGUUUAAACAUAUUUAUUUAAACACAACCACUCAAAUGAACACUUAGUAAACAAAUCCUCAAUACACCAUUUAACCUCCCAAAAUCCCAGACUCAAGCCCCAUGUGCGCGAAACCAAAACGGCCACAAAAGCCUCCAAUCCUAUCCCGACUCAGCCGAUAACUCACUCCCCUCGAACCCACAGAACACGCUCAACCUCAACUCACUCCCCUCGCAUUCCAACCAGCCCAUCUUAUCCCAACCCCAGGACCAGAACCAAGUAGCUACGACGGUAGCAAACUCUGAGUCAUUUCAAACAAAAUCAUUUUCUUUAAGUUGGUUCAGUCAUACAUGUAAAAUCGACAAAUAAACAAAAAAAAAAAAAAAAACUUUCUUGCUUACGCAAGUCAGCAACGAUGAGGAUAUGACAUAAGGCAGUAGCGAAUGACAAGUUGAUGACGAGGAUAGAACGGAAGGAAGCAGCGAAUGGCGAGUUGGCAGUGUGUGCAGGAUGGGCCGAUGGCGACGGACAUCUACCGUUUGCGAUUUUAUGCGAAUCUCCAAGUGCAAGGUGAGUGAGUAAAGGUGGCCAACAGGCCGUGCCAUGCCGGCCUAGGCCCAUUAAAGAAAAGCCCACACGUGCACGCAUUCGUGCUUGUGUCAUGCCGUGCUCAUUAUGCGUUUCGUGUUGUGCUGUGUCAUGUCUAAUUUUUUUUGUCUAGGCCCAGCUCAACACAUAUGUUGUGCUCACACAUGUCGUGCUGUGGGUCAUGCCGUGCCUAGGAAAAAAAAAACACACUAAGCUUUUUUAUUUUUUUAAGGAGUGUUGCUAUUUACCCCGAAUUUGCACCCUGAAUUUACACCCUGAGAUCAAAACGCACCGUUUGCUCUGAGUUAAUCACGUGUCCAUUAUCUUGCUUUAUAUAAAGGAAAGGAAAAAGCUGGGGAAAGAAAAAGCAAAAGCAAAGCUGUUUCUUCACGUGUUUCUUCAGUAAAUGUAUGGGCCUAACUAGAAAAUUUGUUGUGUCCAGCUGUGGUCCGCUUAUUUUACUUUACUUUGCUUUGCUAUUUCCUUCCUUGUUUGUUAUUUCCUUCUUCUUUGUUAUUUCCUUCUUUGUAUCAGUUGAUGAUACAUGCAUCAAACACAAUAAUAAAAAUUGAACGAGAGCAAGAGAACGAACCAUCGAUCAAGAGUUGAGGGAACGGGGGGGGGGGGGGGGGAAGAGAUUGAAUUAAGACGCAAGUGGCGUGGUUGAGUGGAUUUGAAACCAAAAAUGGAAUGAAAUCAUCCUGACUUAACAAACGAAUCUGCCUGAAGAAAAAGAGUGCUGCUAACUGGAAAGAGAAAUGGAAAGUGAAAGCAAAAUGUUUACCUUGCUUUACGGGCCUAACUAGAGAAGUGGGAAGUGAAAGCAAGGAAGUGGAAAGUGAAGGCAAAAUGAAGCAACACGUGUGGAGAGAAAAAAGUAAACGAUGCGUUUUGAUUUCGGGGCGCAGAUUCGGGGAUUAAAUUCGGGGUAAAUAACUUUUUCAUUUUUUAAGAGCGUAUAACAAAUUAUUGCCUUAUUUUUUUUUUAAGCCCAUGUACUUUUUUUUAUCCAAUCUUUAUUAAAAUUUAAUACAAUCAAAAAUUCAAAAUUCAAGUCCAUAUUCAAUAAUAAUAAGAGAUCACUAAAUUUGACUCUAUGGUAUUAUAAUUCUUUUUUAGUACUUAACAACAACAAUAAUAAUAACUUUUUUUUAAGGAUUAACUUAAUUGUUAACUUAGAAUUACGUAGAAUCAUAUAUCAUAAUUUAUAAUAAUAUUAAUACAUAUUUAUAAAAUCAUGAUAUUUAUAAUUUUAUUUACUAUAAUCAUAAUAUCAAUUAUUUAUUUAAUAAAUUAUAAACAUAAAUCAAUUAUAAUUUUUUUGAAACUAAGAAUUAAAUAAAUCUAAAAAACUUGAGCUAAUAUAAUAUAUUAAAAGAUUCAAUUUCAAGUCAUUUAUAAAAUCAUAAAAUUUUAAGUAUACUUUUAUUAAAAAAUGAAACGUGUUUUUUCGCGUGCCGUGUUUUAACGCAUCUCUAAUAGUGCAGUGCUUUUAAGGCACAUGUGCCUAAAAAUCUAAGCUCGGCCUCAGCCCACGUGCGUGCUGUGCUGCUUGCUCUACUGAAACGUGCUCGUGCCGUACCAUACCUCGUGUCUCGUGUCGUCUGGCUCAUUGACCACCUCUAAAAGUGAGUUUAAGAGAAAAGUUAGGGCUUUGAUUCUGAUUUUUUCAUUUGUCUCUUAGAUCCAGGACUUCUAAUUUAGUGAAUCCAAAUAUAUUUUCAAUUUUCUUUUUAAUGGAUAAAAUCAGUUGGUUUUUCAAAACGACCGAACAUAAAAUUUCGGUUUGCUAGAUAUGCAAACAAAUGAAAAAAGCACAUAUGAAAAAAUUAACAACUAACUUUUCAAGGCAACAACAAAGAUUCACUCAAUAAGCAACACAGAAAGUAACUUAUGCACAAACAAAUCAAACAAUCAAUUCUUUACAAGUCAAUCUUAAGGCCACAGUUAAAUAUAUCACGAAAGAACCACAACAAUUAAUUUCAGUACUAAUAAUAACUAAUUGCAAACUAGUCUUAAGGUUUCAAUUAUAAUAUAUAUAUAUAUAUUUUCCUAAAAAAUAAUUUUCUCAUACACUAACUAAAAAAUAAUUUUCUCAUACACUAAUGAGGUAUUUGCAAACUCUUUUUUUUUUUUUUUUUUGUCAAACUUUGAUUAUUUACAAACUAAUUUCAACUAAUUAUUUUGUUGUUUCCAAUAAAUCAUAAGACAUAAUUAAGAAUAUAAAAUAUAACUUUUUUUUUUGGGCUUCUAGCGAUAUGAGGAUGGCCAAGGAUACGACUACAGAGGUACGGUGAUAGAAGACUAGCGGUGGAGUUGAUGCAAGGGAGUGGCGACUAAGGUUGGCAUUAGGGUUUUUCAUCUCUUGUUUACACAUGCAGAUUGUUGCGGGCAUAAGUAUGGUGUUAUCGUGAAUCUACCUAUUAGGGGUGUACAUUUCGGUUUUCAAUUUGGUUUUUCUAAUUUUCGGUUCCAUUUGAAACAUGUUCGGUUUAAGAAUUCAACCCAAACAGGUUGAAAAUUUAUUUUGGAUUGGUUCGGUUUGGAUUCAUAAUUCAAUUCAGGUUCGAGUUGUUAAUUUGGGUUACAAAAAAGGGCUUGGGUUAUUAGUUCAGGUCAGGUUACUAAUUUGGGUUACAUCAACCACUAUUAAGAAACAAGGUAAACACCAAAUGAUGAAAAAUAUUCGGAUACUAAGACAACAAAUACAAAAUAUUCAGCAACAAAGUAUAACAACAAAGAAAACAACUUCAAGGUCAUGAAUUUAUUCCAAAAAAAUAAAAACAAAUAUAAAUUAUUAGAUAAAUAAAACCAUCUCUAUUUCUCCAUCAACAACAUUUCUCUAUCAACAAACAAAUCACUCUCUGCAAAAAGUUUCGUAUGCCUUUCUAAAGUUCCAAAUAAUGCCUUCAUCAACAUUCACACAACAUUAAAACUUAAGAAAGAUACUGUAAUGAUAUUGAAAUGAUAAAACUGAUCGGAAUUUAAAGAGAAAGUGGUAGUACCAAUGAAUCUUAUCAAAAACAAGAUAACAAGAUAAAAAGAGCUACUGGAAUCAUUCUGUUGCUUGCAAGCUCCUUAAAAUUACAUUUAUUACUUUAUGUUGAAUCAUGAAACUGAACACAAUAAAUUGCCAAUUCUAACGCAUUGACUUGACUCUAUGGUUGGAAAUCUAAACAACCAUAGUUUCAAAUUAAAAAUAUUUACUUUCAUUUUCAAAGGUCUCUUGGCUAGCAGAAAUUACCUAGAAAAGAAGAUACGUUGUGUGAGAAAAAUCUGUCAAGGACUCGUGUUAAGGAAAUACUUCAAAUGGUAAGGGUUACUUCACUUUUCUUCUGCUUUUAGUGCCCUAAAUGAUGAACCUGUUGUCUCACCAUGUCAGUACUGGUAGAGGCCUAACUGAAUGGGGAGAGAGAUUCAACUUGACACCUCAAGCAGUUAAGACAUUACUUCCUAGAUAAUGAAUUCACUUCCAAUUGUCUAACGUUUUAUACAAUUAUGAAUAAUUAUGAACAAAACUCAUACAGAUAACAGAUGAGCAUAAUUAAUAAAUCGUAAAUUAGAUCUUUAAAUUAUUAAUUCAUAAAUUAGAACUCAUGAAAGCGUGAGUAAUCAACACUCAUAUCAUAUCAAGUUCUUUUUAUCACUUAAAUUACCGUGAAGAGCUGACAACCAGCUGCAACAAAUGGAGGCUGUGCUGGUUGUCGUGCCGUCGUGGAGGUAGCCAGCGGCCAGAUUUGAGAGAGGAAGAGUCGAGGAGAUGCUGGCUGUUUGGGUUUGUUUUGUGACUUUGGCAAAUUGUUAUUUUUCAAUUGGGGUCGGGUUGCACUGUAACUGUUGGACCUUUUUAUUUUUUUUCCAAUGCUAGCGUGAUUUUUACUGUUGAUCGGUUGACCCGAAGAGAAUUGCAAAACCAUCGGUUUUAAGAUUUCAAUCCGUUCAAAAUUUAGAAUUAAUCUAAACUGAAUUGGAAAUGAAUAAACAUUUAAAUUCGGUUCAGUUCGAAUUGAUUUAAACCGAACGCUCACCUUUACGUGUAAGAGAUUGUCACGCUUGUACAUUUCAAAUUGUUAUAGUGACAGUGACAACGUGUAAAAUGUGUCCAUGUGUACGUUGCAUCGUGACAAGACGAGAAAGAGAGCCGUUAGAGAAGGAACCGUUGGUUUUGGUUUGAUUAGAAUAUGAUAAUCUCCUGAUUUGAGUUCUACUGAGUUUUUAAAAGUCUUCUAUCAUGUAUUUUUUUUUGUGGUGGUGCAUGAGUAAAAUUUAACUUUUUUAUUUUUUUAUUUAUUAACUACGACGCGACUCACGCAUGGACACGUUUUACACAUUGUCACCAUCGCUAUAACAAUUUGAAACGUAAAAGUGUGGCAAUCUCUUACACAUAGAAGUAAGCAUUCGGUUCAAAUCAAUCUGAACUGAACCAAAUUUAAAUUUUUAUUCGUUUCCGAUUCGGUUCAGAUUAAUUCUAAAUGUUGAACGGAUUGAAUUCUCAAAACCGAUUGUUUUGCAAUUCUCUUCGGGUCAACCGGUCAACAGUAAAAAUCACGUUAGUAUUGGGGAAAAAAAAAAAAAAGGCCCAACCGUUACAAUGCAACCCGACCCCAAUUGACAAAUAACAAUUUCCCAAAGUCACAAAACAAACCUGAACAACCAGCAUCUCCUUGACUCUUCCUCUCUCAAAUCUGGCCGCCGGCUGCCUCCACGAAGGCACGACAACCAGCACAGCCUCCCGUUUGUUGCAACUGGUCAUCAGCUCUUCACGGUAAUUUAAGUGAUAAAAAGAACUUGAUAUGAUAUGAGUGUUGAUUAAUUACGCUAUCAUGAGUUCUAAUUUACGAAUUAAUAAUUUAAAGAUCUAAUUUACGAUUUAUUAAUUAUGCUCAUCUGUCAUCUGUAUGAGUUUUGUUCAUAAUUAUUCAUAAUUGUAUAAAACGUUAGACAAUUGGAAGUGAAUCUUUCUCCCCAUUCAAUUAGGCCUCUGUCAGUACUGACAUGGUGAGAAAAUGGGUUCAUCAUUUAGGCCAUUAAAAGUAGAAGAAAAGUGAAGUAACUCUUACCAUUUGAAGUAUUUCCUUAACACGAGUCCUUGACAUAUUUUUCUCACACAACGUACCUUCUUUUCUAGGUAAUUUCUGCUAGCCAAGAGACCUUUGAAAAUGAAAGUAAAUAUUUUGAAUUUGAAACCAUGGUUGUUUAGAUUUCCAGCCAUAGACUCAAGUCAAUGCGUUCAGAAUUGGCAAUUUAUUGCGUUUAGUUUCAUGAGUCAACAUAAAGCAAUAAAUGUAAUUUUAAGGAACUUGCAAGCAGCAUAAUAAUUCCAGUAGCUCUUCUUAUCUUGUUAUCUUGUUUUUUAUAAGAUUCAUUGGUACUACCACUUUCUCUGUAAAUUCUGAUAAGUUUUAUCAUUGCAGUAUCAUUAAAAUCUCGAUGUACGAGUGGAGUUAAUUUGUAUGUUCUUAGCGGGUGUAACGAUGUUAUUAUAAUAUUUCAACAACACUAAUUCCUCAAAUUUAUUAAUGGGAAAUUAUGUCUUUACUGCCGGCCUAAACAUUUGAAUUAUGACAUAAUAAUAUAAUCUAAAUAGGGUAUGAAAGACUUCCAUUAAAAAUAUUAGUAGCUUACAAAUAAACAUAACAUAUAAAACAACUAAAAUAAUUUUUUUAAACAGCAAUUUCAGUUUAUUUAAAACAUCAAAAGUAGCUUCUAAUAACAUCCUAUUUCACAAAACAUCAAAGAUUUAUUUAAUAAUUUAUUAUUUUAGAAGGAAGGAUAUUUUAGUAAUUUUAAUAGUCCACUAACGGUCAACUCAGACAAUAGCUAACUCAGAUAAUAGCUAACGGCAAGGGACAUGUUUGUAAUUAAAUCAAUACAUUCUAUAUAAGUGUUAAUACGCCACUUCAAAGGAGGUCCCUAAAAAUUACUGCAAUUUUUUUUUUUAACUAUUUAGUAAAAAAAGAGGCCAAGCGGUGGAGCAUUUUCUUAGCAUUCUCAGUGUCAGGAUCAGUAACAUGAAAAACAUGAUCCUCUCCCUCCACUUCAAAAAACUCCACUUCUCCUCCGAACCCACUUCCCUUAACAGCAUCAACAUACAAAACAUCUCUGUCUCUCAGCCGAUCCUUCCCAGCAACACAGACCAGCAUCCUCGAACAAGCAAGCUUAGCCAAACUCGGCUUACCUGAACCAACAGGAUUGAUCAUCGGAUUAUCAAUACCACCAGGCGCCGCUGGAUAGACAAAUUCCCAAAUCAAAUAUUCCAAACACUUCUUCUGAUCAUAAUUAUCACUACCAUCUGAUUCUGAACCGACUGGAAUGGAGCCCCAGAAGUAAGGAUGCCCUAGAAAUGCUCCUAAAAUCCGAACACCAGUACCCUCCUUCAAUAAAGACUCUUGAUCAUCAUCACCCGCUUUCAUAGCUAUGUUAUGAACUAUAUUGCCUCCGGAGCUGUCACCACCAAUAAAGAAUCUCUCAAAAUCUCCGUGGUUUAAUAACCAGGGCUCCUUGUUAUUAAUAAUAUUGGAGUGUUUUGAUGAUCAGGAUCAUGAUGAUUGAUACUGUUACGGUUACGAUGAGAAGCGACCCAUUGAAAGGCAGCCCAGCAGUCUUCAUAUGCUGCGGGAAGAAGGUGUUCUGGGGCGAGCCUGUAUUCAAUGGAGACUGCGAGUACUUGAGACUGAGAGACCAAGGUGUUGAGGUAUCUGUGCUGAAGAAAUGAGAAAGCAGACUCGAUGCAGAAGGCGCUGCCGUGGAAGUAGACCAAAAUGGCGAGUUUUUGAUGGGGCUGGGUGAGUUUUGGGAGGUAGAGGCGAGCGGAUAUGGCGGGGUUUUGAGAGAUGGUUAUGUCUUUUGAUGAGACCCCGAAUUGAGGAUCCGGGUCAAGCGUUGGAGGCACGUAGGCUGAAUCCAUCAGCCGCUCAACUGACCCAUCUUUGAAGACUCUGAUCAGUGGGAGGAGCUCUUUGGCUACUUCUUUGUUUGUUGAAACAGCCAUUGUAAUUUCUGAGAGAGAUUACUGAACUGGCUUGGAAACUGCGGAAUUACUUGACAGGAUUUAUAGAAGGAAUAGCCAAAUAGGUGCGUGGCCGCGUGGGGCACAGCUGAGCCACGAAGGCCUAUUUCUAUUAUGAGUGAAAUUCAACUUAAUUUGACCAGACUAAUAAUACCGCACAUUGAUUUUAGGAAAAUUUAUGAAAAUAACCAUAAAAUUUUUGCUAUUUUCACAAUUAACCUUCUCAACUUUUUUCUAUCAACAUUAGCUAAACACACGCUUUUCUCCCUAAAUUACCCUUCUUUACAAACCAAAAGCAACUUUCUUUCUCCUAUUUCGUCAAACUAAAGGCAGCUUUCCACUCUUGAAUCAUCAACCAACGACGACGGCAAAAGACAACGAUAAAAGUGAAAUCUGAUAAUAAUCUAUCCGGAUCCAACACUAAUCGGCAUCACAUAAUGAUAUGAGUUAUUUUCUGAACUUGCUCGAGAGUUUCAGUGAAUUGCGAGUCGGGGUGAAUCUGGCGACAAGCAACCUGUCGCACCAAAACUUGGUGCGACAGGCACCUGUCGCACGAAGAGCUUACUUUCUUUUGUUUUUGGGUACACCAGGAGAGAGCUUUUGGAGGUACCGAUUAUCUUAGGCAGCUUAGUAUGUAUUUGUAAAUAGUAGAUCUCAGAUCAGAUUUUGUCCUCUCGAUAGUUGGUUAUUAUCUGCAAUAAGCCAUUCAAUUUUCACCGCCAGAUAUCUCAUUUAUACAUUACACUUCUUAAAUCUGAAUCCUCUCGAUAGAUUAAGUAGACACUAUAUUUCGAACAUGCUUCAAAGACAUAGCAUAUCAAAAGCACUUGAAAACUUUCUCAUCUAUCAACUAGCAAGCGUUACCAUUAUUUCAGUUCCUUGAGACUUGCCUCUGCAUUCAAUAAGGGCAGUAAGCUCCAUGUUGUGCAAAUUUUAAUGUACUCGCAAGCGCACGAAUCUAUUGUAGUGUAGAUCAAUGGUGACGAGUGUCGAUCCCACGAGGAGGAGGAUUUUAAUUGUGUAUAGAAUUAAUUUUGCAAAAUGUGUGGUUGGAAUUGUGGUGGAAGUGAUUUAAAUUAUCCUAAAAUUGGAAUUGAAAUUGCGAUAAUAAAUUCUAAAAUUGGAAUUGCAAUGGCGAGAAUAAGUUGAAGCGAAAUCUAUUGAAAUGACGUACUUGGGUAUCUGGAUCCGUAUCAACAUGCAUCAUGGGCUAAAUAAUCCGUAUUAAUGCCAAUUAAAUCAUGAGGGGGGAAUCCACACCUCAUGAACCACGCUCUAAUCAAUAUGGUGCUAAGGGCUUAUCGUGCCAAAUAAUAAUAACCUUAUACUAGAGAGCCGGUGUAACCAAGGCGGUAUCUAGACAAGAUCAGUAUUAUUUGUCGACGAUAAGUCAAAUCAUCCACAAAAACUAGAGGGGAAAAGAAAAUAAAUUUACCAAAUAAAGCCCAUGACACAUGUUGAGACUUCACCUUCAACCCAAGCUUGAAAGGAAAUUAGCCACACAUAAUUGAACUAGGGGCAAAAUGGGAAUUUAUUAAAAUACAAAGAAAAUACAAGAUGGAGAAGGAAUUACAGAAAAUGGAUCCCAAAAAUGGAUUCAGAGAUAUCAAAUUAGGGGGGGGGGGGGGAGACCCCCUUUUUAUAGAUACAUGGAGUAAAUCAUGGUCAUCGGAUUAAAAACAGUUUGGACGCUCAGGAUUGCGCCACGUCAUCCGUCAACAGUCCACGGUUUGACCACGCGGAUGAACAGUAACACGGUUUGACCCGGGAUGAACAGUAACACGGUUUGACCCGGAUGAACAGUAACACGGUUUGGUUGAAAAUAAUCAUGUGUGAUGCAUGCACCGUACGCGAGAUUUUUCGUCCAUUGAUAUGCUGCCACGUCACCAUCAACAGUACAUAAGAAUUUUAGUCCAACAGGAUCGUGACACCUCAUCAGUCAAUGCCACAUCAUCGGUCAAUGCCACGUCAUCGAUCCGUCUAUGUGAACAGUGUCGUGAACAGUAACGUAGACAGUACCGUAUACGUGAAUAGUACCGUACAUGUGAAUAGUAUUAUUUUUCAUUUUAUGCUCCUCCUAAGGUUUUCGACCGUCCUGAGUUCAAAAGUGAUGUCCGUUUUGCCGUCUGAUCUCUCCUUUAUUGUGAAAUGACUAUAAUGCCCCUAAAAUAUAUAAAAUACUUAAUUAAAAUAACACACACGUAAUUACAUCACAAGAAGGUUAAAUACAUAAAAGUAAGGGUUGUUAGUAAGACUUGAAAUGUAAAAUGACGGUUUUCUUCUUUAUAAAUAUGUAUUUUCUAACACUCAACACUCCACAUACAUUAUCAGUUGCUCAAUGACUGAUUUUAAGUAUAGCAAGCUUUGUAACGCCUAUCUCUCAAAGGAUUUCCAGCUUUGAUUAAGACCAAUCAUGUAAUUUAGAUCCCAUGAAUUCCAAUUUUAGUUCUGGUCACCAUUUUUCUUCACACAACUUGCAAGCAAGAAACUAAUAAUACUUGGCAGGGAACCUAUUUAUGUAUGCAUAUGAAUCUAUCCAGGAUUGAGUCGAACUUCUGUCAUCCUUGAAAAUUGAUUUUUUGAAAAAAAAGAAAAAAGAAAAUGGCAUGAAUUUCUUUUAUUAAACUAUAUACCCCAUUGUAGAGAGAACAAAAAUUAAAGCAAAAACGUUGGCAUAAUAAUAAACUAAAGAAUGCUAAGAUUUCUAUCCAAAAUCAAAUUAUGCAUCUUCGAACUGGUAAAUAAUAGGCAUUCCUUUGUCAGCUCCGGCCGCCAUUUUCAUCUAAUGCUUCUUCGACCACUCGUGAUUCUUCUUUUCCUUCUCACUACUAAACUUCUUCCCACCCGCCGCGCAGUAUGACUUUAUAUUUCGCUUCUUCUUGUUGAUCUCAUCAUCAAUCUCAUAAUUAAGCUUCCUCGUCAUCAUCAUAAAAUCUCGUUCACUCAGGCACACUCCGGUAAUUUCUAACGUUACUCCUGCUUCAAUACGUGAUCAUCAACAGUGAUAACCGAUUCUGAUCCCUUGUCUCUCUUCUUAAUAAACUCAGCCAAUUCUAAUCAUCAACAGUGAUAACCGAUGAGGGAUGGACCGCCGCCGAUGAAUGUUGAAGUUGCCGCUGACGCCGCCGACGAUGGGAGGUUCUUCAGUUUGGAAGAGAUGGGAGAAAGAGAGAUUGUUGGGGGAGAGAUGAGAGAUGGGUAUUUUGGUCUCAAAGACUUUUUUAUGGCUAAUAUUGAUAGAAGUUUGUUUGGGGGGUUAAGAUAGAAAAAGUUAAAAUUUUUAUGGCUAUUGGUAUAAAUUUCCCUUGAUUUUAUUAUAAAAAAUUAUGUCACAAUAAAGUCACUUCAACUAAAAUAAACAUGAUAUAUCUUAAAAUGCAAGAAAGUGCAGUAUUAAUUGCACUGGAAACAGCCUUGGUGACAUUGUUUUAAUAUUAGGGGAGUUAAUUAUGUAAACUCAAAAUAAUUUGAGUGUUUGUGAAAUUUUUUCUCAUUUAUAAGUCAUUACAACAAAACUAGUCAUUUUCAACUAAACUUUUUUUUAAAUAAUUAAAUAUGGUAGGUAAUAGGGCAAUUUUCAACCUUAAAGUGAAGAUGUAGAAAAAAUGAAAUAGUUAUAUAAUUUUUUUAAUAAAAAUAACAUUGUUGAGAAUAACUUCAAAAUUAGUUAAUAAUAAAUUUAUUUUAGCAGGAAAUUUUAGCGCCAUUAGUAUUUAUUACUGUAACUAAACAUUAGAAAUGCAUAAUUUCUAUCGUUUCAAAAAUAUAGUUUCAAUUACUGUUAUUUUUUUUGUCAAAAAUAGAAAAAUAUUUUUAACUGUAACUAAGGUUAGAUGAAAAAACUAUUUAAAGGAUAGAAAAUUUUAAAUGACAACAUGGCCGCCAAUAAUAUUUUUAACUAGUAUAACUUGUAAGGUUGGUCAAAGCAAAGCUAUAAGGGAAAGAAAAUAUAAUAUAAAAGUAUAGAUCAUCUAAAAGAAAAAAUAAUUGUAAGUUUUUUUUCUUUGUUUGCCAUUUUUUUUAAUCAAACAUGAACUAAAUAAUUAAAUAAUAAUUAAUUAAUGUACUUAAUGUAAAAUAAAAUUAACUUCCACAAUUGAUGUAGGAAGGUAAAUUAGGUUAUUUUAGGUAAUUUGGGAUUAUAGAAUAUUUAUUGUUUUAGGAUUUUCUAUUUUAGUUUGAGUUAAUUAUGGUAUGUAUCUUAGUAUUUUAUUUCCAUUAUAAUUGUGAUUUAGUUUUUCUUUUUAGGUUAACUUAGGGAAGUGGGUUUCCUCUAUUAUAAAUAGAGAGGCAUUGUCAUUAUUUUAAAAGUUCAGAUUCAAUUAUUCAAUAAAGCUCCCCUUUUAUAAUUCCCUUUGGGAUUAUCUAUCAAAAUCUCUCUUGUAGAAUCGUUUAAUCUCACUUAUGCGUUAUUAAAAAUCUCAGAGUCGUCUUGGUUAGAACGAUAUCUAAUCACUCUUCGAUUAGAGCGUAAACUAAUCGCGUUGGCUUGGUCCAAUACUAGAACGAUAUCUAGUGUUUUCUAUCCAAUCAAUCCCGCUUCCGCUACGCCUCGCCCCAUCAACAAUGCACACAUAAUUUCCAUCAACCAAAAAUAAAAUAAAAUAUGAAAGUGCCUAACACUUGACCAUGAAGUAAUUUGCAAUAAGUUAUUUAUAAAAUAAUUAUUAAAGGAUUGAUUUUUUUUUCCUGAAGGUUUUACUAGGUGCAACAAUAGAUAUUGAAUUACCUUAGUUAACUUAAAGAUACCUUUGAUUGAUUACAACAUAGAUAUAAUGUACGAUAUCUUACAAUUAAAUAUCAAUCAACUUUAAAAUAGCAUUAUAGUUCAAGAAAAUUCUAUAAUAUUUAUGAUCUCAUUCAAUCUUAUAAACAAACUUGAAGCCUACGUUAAUGUUUAAGUCUCAAUUGUAUUAAUCAUUAUUAUUGAAUCAAUUUAAAGAUUGAUUGUCGAAGUAAUUGGUUUUUUUUAUAGUUAAGCAUUUAAAUAAAUGAUGUCUAUGAUUGAUCAUAAUUAUUGUUGAAUCAAUUUGGAGACCGGCUAAUUUUCAAAUUAAUGUAAUUAUCUAGUGACAAUUUUAAUGAAUAGAGUUUAACAGUUUUCAUAAUUGUAUUAUACUCUUAAUUAUAGAACAUGGAACUUAUGCUUCAUACUUGACAUUCACUGCAUAUAUUAAAAAAAUUAGAUAAUUAGUAAUUAACAUUUAAUUAUAGUUGAAAUAUUGUUUAUUAAAUUAGCCUAAUUGUCUAAGAAUGGUUGUACAAUUAAUUUCAAUAGUUUUGGUCUGACUUCAAUUCAGCUGAAAUAUUAUGAGUUUAUCUACAUAAUGUGAUUUUCUGGUGAAGAAAGAGGCUAAGAUGCCCAAAAACAGCUUGUUGGGAGAGACUACAAUAGGGAUAAACCUGAAAUCACAAGAAAAAGCCUUAGAGGUGGCAUCAGCGGUGGUCGAUUACGGCACUCUGACAAUCAAGUUAGUGGGAGGUUGAAUAUGGUGUCAAUGAGCGAACUUACUCUUUUAUGAUAUUAAUCUGACCUUUUUAAAGUGGAGUGCCCCUAAAGGCGUCUUUGUAUAUUUUUUGGACAUGUGGUGAACCAGUAUUGGUUAUUUCUCUCCUUAGAUAAGGAUUUUAGAGUAAUUUAGCCUUGUUUGUUGAGGCUUUUGGGUUGCCUUAAGUUAGAUAGCUGCCCAUUUAGAGGCAGUUUGUGCUAGCAAUGUGUCCUUAACUCUAAUUGGCCUAUUUUGAAUGAAUCAAUUGGGUUGAAGGGCAUAUGAUUUCACUAGAGAUUGUACUAGUGGCUUUGUUUGAGGUCCCCUUUUUUCCGCAAUUCUGACUUUUGCGACUUGCUAUGAGAUAUUUUAUAGACAUCCUAAGUGAGGACUAUACUGUAAUGGUGUGGUCUGGUGGCAUUGGCAUGGCUGUCAUUGUCUUGUCGUCCAUAUAGACACGUGAGAACUUGGAUAUUUUGUAGUUUCAAUGGUUGAGGCUGGUUGUUCGAGAUCUCUUCUCAUUCCAUCCUCCCUUCUCAACUUCCUCUUCAUCUUUUAUCAUAGUCUUGAGUCACAUUCCCCACGUGUUAUGCUGCCAAUACCUGUGGUUUAUAUUUUACAACCAACAUCAACAUAUAAUAAGAACUCUUGCAAUAAUUUAUUAAUAUUUUGAAACAUAACUAUGAAUUAUUAAAGCUAAUAUAGCUUCGUAGUGUAUAAGUCAAAUAUAUUUUCAUCUUUUUUUAUCUUAUUAAUUUUUCAUUUAAAUUUUAAAAUAUAUGUUAAAGAUGUUCUAUCAAUCAAUUUAGGCUAGACAGUAACUAAGCAAUCUAGUAGUCAUAUAAUAGGUAUUAUAUAUAACUGUUCAAUUAUAACAAAUUUCAUAUUUGCAUUAAUAUGAUAAUAAGUUUUGUUUUGCAAUUAAUCGAAUCAUAUGGUAAUAAUUUUCAAUAGUUAUCAAUAUGAAAUAACUAACAUAUGAUAAAUUAAUUAAUUGAUUUUUUUUUUAAUUUGAAUAUCUUGUAUAUCUCUAGUAACUGUUUGGUCCACUUGAUUAUUGUAAUGCCACCUAACUAAAGCUUUUAUUGAAAUGAUAUUUUUACCCUAACCCAUGUUCUCCAUUCUCUCUAACAAAUCUCUCGGUUAGCCACUGAUAUUAACCAAGGGAUGAAUUCAUCUACUCUUCUUUUGUAUUAUCUGUAUCCUCAAAGCUUUUAACUCUACUUUAGGGCAAUCUUCUUGAUUCUUUCGAAUUAAGCUUUAUAGAAUUUGGGGAGAUGUUUUUAGAUAUUUAGUAAUUUUUUUCCAUCAACUUUAAUUUCUUAAGUUUGACUUCAAUUAUUGUUGGUCUCACUCUUACAAGGCUGGUUUGCGGCUUUUUCUAUCAGGUUGUUCGAUGAGAAUUAUUUGAUUAAUUGUGGCUUGCAGGUAAAAAUUAUUAUUAUUAUUAUUAUUAUUAUUAUUAUUAUUAUUAUUAUUAUUAUUAUUAUUAUUAUUAUUAUUAUUAUUAUUAUUAUUUUAUUAGAUUUUAAUUUUAACAAUUUAUUUUACAGCAAGUGAAAGAGACAUUAAUUAGGAUAGAUUCAUUUUCUUGUUUAGUAUAUAGGCUUUUCUAUUUUAAUUUGACUAAAUCUUAACUUUUUAAAGUUGUUAUGCAGGAAAUCAAGAGCCUAGGAAGAAACAAUUACAACAGUCAAAAAAUGCUUAAUCGACAUUGAUUCUAUCUUUUAUCAACAUCAAAAUAUCAUUGUAGUAGCUUUUAGUUUAUUAUAUUUUAUUUAAAUAUUUGUCAAGGAUUCAAGGAUUAAUCCACAUUAAUUUUAUAUUUUAGCAAUUAUUAGAAUGCCCAGAAAACACCAUAUUUGUAAAGCAAAAACAUACUCAAACUCAUAUGAAUGUGGAAAAUAGACCAAAUUUGUCAAUUCGAAUUGAAAUUCAUUGUCAGGUCAUCGAUAUUGGUAAAAGUCGUGGUGUAUUAUUUUUCGUGUAGCUUUUAGGGUAAUAUUUGUAUUUUGUUUAAGCCGCACAUGAGUUUGUUGAAAUUAUUUAUAAAAGAAUAUAUGUCCAUUGAUUUAUUGAUUACUACACCAUUGUAAUAGGGUCAUGUAGCUUCUGGUGUAUUAGUUGUAUUUUGUUUAAACUGCACAUGCGUUUGUUGAAAUUAUUUAUAAAAGAAUAUUUGUCCAUUAUUCAUUGAUUACUAAGUCAUUAUCGUAGGGUCGUGUAUCUUUUGGUGUAUUUUGUCUAAGCUGCACAUGUGUUUGUUGAAAUUGUUUAUAAAAGAAUAUUUGUCCAUUGAUUCAUUGAUUAUUAAGUCGUAGCUUUUGAUAUAUUAUUCGUAUUUUGUUUAAGUUGCACAUGUAUUUGUUGAAAUUAUUAAUAAAAGAAUAUUUCUCCAUUGAUUCAUUGAUUUUCUUUUUCCUAGAGGCAAUUAAUAAAAUCAGUUUCAACCAUACAUUUUUCUAUUAAUUCAUUGAUUUUUUUUUAUAGAGGUUAUUAAUAAAAUGAUCAUUUUAACUAUGAAGUAGAAUAAAAUGAAUUUCAACAAUCAUCUUCUUGGAAAUGCUAAAAAAUAUUGAUGUCUUAUAGAACUACAGUUGUUUCAACUGUAUUCAGUGGUCAUAAAGAAAUUGUUUUCCUUGUAGUGUAUAUAUACAAAGAAAUUCAACCUUCAACAAAAUAACGAGAAUAAUAAAAAAGCAUAAGUAAUCAUAUCAUUACAAAGGCAGAACCUUAUUUUGGAUUACAUUACAUUGCGUGACAGUAAACAUAAUUAAUUAAACUUUUAACAGUUACCAAGUAUUAUUUUUUUUUUCUUCAUAAAAGUCAGACAAGAAAAUAAUCAUACGAAACUUUCAAUUAUUCAUUUUAUUUAAUAUAUAUGAAUAUCGAAGUUAUCUUAAUUAUUUGAAAUUAUGGCUUAAAGGCAUUGACCACUAAAAUAUGAAAAAAGAAAUUUUAAAAUGAAACAUUAUGAUAACGAGCUUCAAGGUCUCAUGCAACAUUGAACACAGAGAAGACUUUGAAAGAAAUAAAAAUAUGAUACAGACGUCCGCUGGGCCGGCGGUUUAGAGUACAAUGCAUUACCAUGAUACGCAUUCAUACACUGUGAUUCGUGACACAACACGUUUUAUGAAGCCCAACUAUUCUUAGUUAAGCCCAGCUUCGGUACAUUGGAUUGAAUAUUUCAUCUAAUUAUUACUAUUCUUGUUAUUAGGUGAGAACUUGGACGAAAAUUACCAAAGUUGGCAUUCCUCAACAAAACUAAUAAAACCAAAUUAAAGAUCUAGAAAAAUGCAAACGAAUAGAAACAUGUUACCAACAUACAGAUUAUGUUGAGAUGAGAGAAUUUGAUCCAAUUGUUGUUUGGCAAAAGAUUGCAAUAUUGGUUGUAAAGCAUGAACUACCACUUAAUUCUGAGUAUGAUACAUUUAAGAAUUUGAUGUCUUAUACCAACAUGUUAUUGAAGAUGGUGAGUAAGAACACUUUAAAGAGUGAGAUCCUUAAAUUGUAUCAAGCUGAAAAGGCAAAAAGAAUGGCUUUGUUGGAGAAUAAUAAUAGUAGGGUGACAAUUACUAUAGACAUGUGGACUUCUAGUAAUCGAAAGAAGGGGUAAAUGAUUAUUACAAGGCAUUUUGUGGACAAAUGCUGGCAUUUACAAAGUCAAAUUUGAAGGCACUUUUCUUGUUAUUUGAUGUUAUAAAUAUUUAUUUACUUUAAUUUAAUAAUUCUAAAAUUUAGUUUUUGGGUAAUAAAUAGGUUCAUAUAUUUGCCAGCUCCACAUACCAUUGAAUUUCUUUCUCAAGCAUUUUUUAAGUGUCCAGUGUAUUGGAGUGUGGAUAGAAGGAUAUCGGUUGUUACUUUAGAUAAUUGUUCGACCAAUGAUGCUAUGGUUGAUAGGUUGAUAGAAUUGAGUCUAGUUGAUUCUAUAUUAGUGGGUGGAAAUUAUUUUCAUAUGAGGUGUGUGACUUAUAUUAUAAGCCUAGUUGUGAAGGAUGAGAUGAAAAUGAUUGAGGAGUGGAUUAAAAAGAUUAGGGAAAAUGUGGCUUGUUGGAUGGGCACACAAGAGACCGUAUAAAAUUUUGAAAUGGCUACACGUCAAUUGCAAGUCAAGUGUGAGAAAAAGUUGGUGCUUGAUUGUGUAACUAGAUUGAAUUCUACAUAUGUUAUGCUUGAUGUUGCUGUGAAAUAUAAAAAUAUCUUUUCUAGAUUGUAGUAACGCAACAAACACUACACUUCUUUGCCAGUGGAUAAUGAAUGAGAGAUAGCUGAAAAAAUGUUGGAACAUUUGCUAUCAUUUUACUCGAUUGCGAAGCUAUUUUUAGGUACACAAUAUCCCAUAUCUAAUCUUUUUUUCCCCAAUGAUAUGUAAAAUGAGGAUUAACAUGAAACAAUGGGAACUUUCUCAUAUACUUGUGGUUAGACAAUUGUCUGGUCAAAUGAUUGUGAAAUUUGAUAAAUAUUAGACCUAAAUACAUGGGAUUUUGGUGAUGGCUAUUAUCCUUAACCCGAGACUUAAGAUGCAAUUGGUUAAUUAUUAUUUUUCAUAACUUUAUGGUGAAGAUGCUGCAAAUGAGAUUCAAAGAGUAAGCAAUCUAAGUAACGAUUUGGUUAAAUUUUAUGAAGUUAAUAAUGAAAAUGUGAGUGAUACGAUUAUUGGUGAGUCUUUUUCAAGUGAUGUUCGUUUUAAUUUUAGUAUGGGUACUAGUGGUAAAUUUUUUUAUAUAUGUAAGUUUGGCCAUUUUAAAGCCAAAAUAAUGAGACCAUGGUAUCGAAGUUUGAUCUUGAGAGGUAUUUAGAAGAUCCUUUAGUCAAAUCCACUUCGGACUUUUAUGUUUUGAAUUGGUGGAUGGUAAACCAAGACAAAUAUCCUGUCUUGGCUCAGACGGCCAAGGAUAUCUUAGUCGUUCCCGUGACAAUUGUUGCCUCUAAAUUUGCAUGCAUUUAGUAGAGAGGUAAAGUCUUGACUCUACAUCGGAGCGGACUUCAUCCUACGAUAUUGGAUGUCCUUAUGUGCACUCAAUAUUAGCUAGAGUCGAGCUCUAACUGUAUGAAUACAAAUAAUGUAUAAACUAUUUAAAUAAUUAGUUUGAUAAUAAUUUUAUAUACUUAAAUUAUUCUCACACUUUCUUUUUUUAUUUUUCCUUUUUUUUUAUAGGCAGAAUUCUUGAAACUGAAAUUGUGUGUUUUUAUUUGUAUAAGAAAUUAUUUUUGUUUGUCUUUAUUUUAUUAUUUAUAUAAUUAUAUGGUUGAGACCUUAGAGUAAUUUUAUAUUUAUAGUACUUCAAACCAAUUCUAAAACUUUUAAAUUUCAAUAUAUAUGGGAAGGUUAUGUCCUUUUUAUUUAAAUUUAAAUAACUUAAAUAUAAAAAAAUUAAAAAAAUUAUGGUAGGGUUCAGACAAAGCCCGACCCGUUUUACCCUUUUUAUUUAAAUUUAAAUAACUUAAAUAUAAAAAAAUUUAAAAAUUAUGGUAGGGUUUGGACAAAGCCCGACCCGACCCGACCUGACCUGAAACGGGUCGGGCAUUUUAUUUCAGUGACUGGGUCAGGCUCGGGUUGGGCCAUACCCCAUCCGCCUUGGCCCAUUGCCACCCUUAAGUCCACCUUUAUAAUCGGUGUAUGUGACAAUUUUAUAGAUAUACAUACAUACAUACAUACAUACAUACAUACAUACGUAUGUAUGUAUGUACAUUCUUAAUUGUGUAUCUAAACAUAUGAUAAUUUUGACAAUUUUAUUAAAUCUUGAAAGAAAGAUGAUAUUUUUGAAAAUUUCUUUUUUAAUCUAAUAAUAAUUUUUUUUUUACAAGAUACAUAAUCUAACCCACUAGAUGAACAUAUGAUAAUUUUGACAAUUUUAUUAAAUCUUGAAAGAAAGAUGAUAUUUUUGAAAAUUUCUUUUUUUAAUCUAAUAAUAAUUUUUUUUUACAAGAUACAUAAUCUAACCCACUAGAUGCAUAUUUUAAUAAUUAAUUAUCUCAAUCUUGUAAAUUAUUAGUUUUCGGACAAAUUAUAUUCAGUGGCAUGCAAAUUGCAAAUCCUAAAUAUAUCAUAUUUGGUUACAGAAUGCGAAUCUUAAAUUCAUCUCACUUUCUUAAGACAAUACAAGGAAGAUAUCACAUUUUCUUGUUUAUAUAAGGCGUAACUAAUAGUGGAUAUAAGCAAUAUCAAAGAAUACUAUUUCUUAAGCAAACAAUGAGGUAUAAGAUAAAUUAAGUUUCUAAAUAAUAAAAGUUUUGUCUUAUCUAACUCUUACGUUUCCGCUUUGUCAAAGUCAUAAUAAAGCAGAUCUUGAUCAGAUGAUUUGUCAUCAGGCAGCUGUAAGAAAUUUGAGAAGAUCUUGAUUCUUGUAGUUCUAACAGAUUAAAAUUUAUUGGAGACAAACCGAACCCAUUACAUGAUCAGAUGCUUCUAAUUAUUCCUAGAGCUGGCAUAAGAAGAUACGAAUCUGAUCGUACAUUACAUAAUAUGAAAUGCAAGCAUAGCUAGCUAAAGAUUAUUGCUUGAGAACAAAAGAAGCCAAGCGUUUGAUCAUUUUCCUAGCAUUCUCAGUCUCAUAUUUCAAUAUAUGAAAUGCAUGAUCCUCACCCUCUACUUGAACAAGCUCCACUUCUCCUUCCCACCCACUUUCCUUGACAGCAUUAUAGUACAAAAUCCCUCUAUCCCUCAAAACAUCCAAUUCAGCAACACUCACCAGCAGCCGACGGCACCCAAGUUGAGCCAAGGUCGGCGCUUCCGGGCUAACAACGUUGAUCAUCGGAUUAUCAGCCCCGCCAGCCACAUUAGGGCAUAAAAACUUCCAAACAAGGCUGGGCAAAAGCUUCCCAAAAUCUCUUGUAUCCUCUGAUCCCACAGGCUUCGAGCCCCAGAAGUACGGGUGAGUUAAAAAAGCCCCUAAAAUUUUAACACCACCGGCCAACUUCUCUCUGCCUGCUCGCAUGACCACAUGAUGAGCAAUGUUAGCUCCUGCACUAUCGCCAGCUACAAAAACUCGAUCAAAAUCCCCAAACCUCGCUAGCCAUGGCUCCUUGUUAUCAAAGCGGCCAUUGUUGACAGAGUGUGAAGCAACCCAUUGGAGGGCAGACCAGGAAUCUUCGUAAGCGAUGGGGAGAGGGUGUUCAGGGGCUAGCCUGUACUCAAUCGAUAUUGCAACAACUUUGGCUUCAGAAACCAGGGCAUUCAUCAGCUUUGUUUCGACUAAAGAGAAGGCGGACUCAAAGCAGAAGCCGCCACCGUGUGUGUAAAACAAGAUUGGGAGUUUUUGGGUGCUGAUGGGUUGGGCGAGUUUCGGGAGAUAGACUCUGGCUGAGAUUUUGGGGUUCUCCGAAAUGGUGAUGUCUUUGGAUGAGACUCCGGUUUCUGGAUCCUCACCAGGCGACGGCGGCACCAUCGGAGAGCCGCUGAGUCGCUCAACGGAGCCGUCUUUGUAGACUCGGAGGAGUGGGAGCAGCUCUGAUGCUACUUCGGCCAUGGAAUUAACUCUUGUCCUCAAGUGACUCAAGAGAAAAAAAAAAUAUGCGAUUUGAGAAGUAUGCCAGAAACUACACCCCUAUUGCUCUUAUAAAACAAUGCAUGCGCAGCCAAACCUGAUAAUUUUUUUAGUUGAAUUUUGAUCUCAUAGACAUGAUUCACGUCAUUCGUGUUGAAAAUAGCACAAAAUUUAAUAAAGAAGUUACAAAAGACACCAAAAAUAAUAAUUUAUAAUUAUUAUUUUUUUUACUUUUUAAUAAUGAUGUGUUAUUUUAUACACAUCAAUAUCACGUAACACAAAACAUAAAAUAACACACAAUGAAGAUAACAUAAAAUAACACACCAUGAAGAUGUGACGUACAUACAAUAAAUAAAUGAAAGAUUCAAUAAUGAACCUAUUGGUGUCAUAUAUACAACAAAUAAAUGAAAGAUUCAAUAAUGAAUCUAUUGGUGUCACAAGACUCAAUAUAUUUUUUCUCUCAAAUAAAUGAGCGGAAAUAAAUAUUUCCUUCACUCAUUUGCAUUGAGCAGAAAUCCCUCUUUUCUAUGAGGAUAACAUCAUUUUUUUUUUUAACUCUCAAAUAAGGUGCUUCAUCGACUCUUAAUCGAUUUCUAUGUUGAAACGUCAAAGAUUUUUGGUGAGUUUUUUUAAAUUGGUUGAAAAAGAAAAGUAAGCUACAUGCAUUACUUUUGUUUUUCAAAGUCAGAACCAAAUUACAAGACUUUUGCAACUUUUGUCAACUACUUUAAGAUUUUUUGCAGUGAAGCUCAACUAUAAAUAGAGCUUUAUUCAGAGAGCAAAUUGCAUUCCGAAAACUUGAGAGCAUCCCAAAAUUGUUAAGCUUAUAAAUUUUUAAGUUUUUUAGAGAAGUGAGAGAAGUGUGUCCGAAAAAUUUAUCUUUCCUGCAGAGUGUAAGAGUACUAGGUAUAUUUAGAUUUUCGGAAAAUGAGAUUUGUUACUCAAAUAUUUAUACUCUAUUAAUUGUUAAAUAAAUAAUUAUUUUUUCUUACUUCCAUGAAUAUAGAUUUAAUUACCGAACCACGUUAAAUAAUUAUAUCUUUUAUUUUUUUAUAAUUAUUUAGUGCGCUUAAUUCUACAUUCCGCGCACAAUAUUCUAGUCAUAUGUUUUGAUUGUAAAUGUAAUAACAGAUAUAGUGUUAAAAAUAAUAAUAAUAAAAGCUUUAUUUUUUAAGUGCGGGUACCCAGUUGAAUUUGUUGUAUUCCACCUUUCAUUCAAAGAUGUAACGCGAUUCCGCAAUCCGCGAGCAUUAUUGAACGACCACUUGACCAGAGCUUGACAGCCUGUUAUUAGUUUAUUUUAUAUUAUCCCAUCUUUAUUGGGAAGUCAGUUCGCCUAAUUUUUUUUUCCUUUAAAAAAUAUUAAAAGUCUGAUAUUUUUCUUUUUUGUAAUAUUUAAAAGCUGAUAUUUUCGAAACAUUCAGAAAAAUAAUAAUUAAAAAGCCAAAUAGACACGGCAAAUGAAUAAAAAAGCUCGUUUAUUCACUCUACUUAACUUGUUUUGCCCGUCUGGGAGGCAAAAUUGCCUAAAUUUGUCUUUACAAAUGUCUGUUGUAACCACGCACUCGGCACUCCACCUCUGUAAAAUAUAAAUAAAAUAAACAGGCCUAUCUUUAGGGAUAAUUGAAAAAAAAAAGGUUAGUAUAUUGAAUUGUUAAAAUAUUAAAAAAAUGGUUAAUAUUAUAAAUAAAUAUUAUCUAAUAACAUGAUUGAAUGAUUUCAAAUAAUAUUAUUUAUUAUUGAAUUUAAAAAAUAAAAAAUAAUUAUAAGCUUUCCACACACCUUCCUCUUUUUAAAAAGAAGAGGAAGAAAAAAACAAAAAAGAAAAACUAUCAUAAAUAUGUAACAAUUGAUCGCAUCGACUCGCUAAUAAGAGUACAAGUAGUGCAUGCUAUAGCCGGCUAAAGGCAUCUUUUAUGGAAUUGAGUUCCCUUAAUAUCCCGUUUGAGAUUGAGGUGAAGUUACAGCUGUUGUAAAAAAAAAAUUGUAAUUAUAAAAUAAAAAUAAAAAUAUAUAAUAAAUAUAAAUUUUACAUAAUAAUUUUAAUAAAAUUAUUAAACAUAUAAUAAAUUUUUUAUUACAAGUUACCGCAGUUAGUGUUUACCAAAUACUUUAAUAUUAAAAAUUUUAAAUUAUAAUUAUACAACCUCAAUCACAAACACACCCUGAGCCUUUGACUAGCUCAGAGUAUAAGUGUAGUCAUUGCUGGUUUGCCACUUUUCACCAUAAACUAUCACAGAGCAAGUCAUACUCAUAUGUGCUCGACUCCCCAAGUAAGGGAAUAUCUCAAGCAAGGAAUGAGGCUUCAGCAUCUUCAAACCCAGAAGAAUUCGGGCAUGCGACAACUCUACUUCAAAAGUUCAAGCUGUCAAACUCAAACACAUCAUAAAGUAGUUGUUGACGACCAAGCAGAUUGACCCGAUGAGGAUGGACGUUAAUUUCACACAUUAAAGACUGUUCUUUUGCUGUACACAUGAUCUUUGAGUUUAAUGAACAGCGGCUAAGCAGCCAACACAAACUUUGGGCAAUUACAUUUGUACAGUAUUAUUUAUGCAAUGAAUUAAAAAGUAAGCCGUUUUCAGAAAAUUAAUGAAUAGAUAGUACAAUUUCAAGGGAUGAUACUGUACAAUGCGGACAGUAGAGACUUGACCGCACGGCACAGACAGUAAAUACUAUAUUAUGCGUUACUAAAAUAACUAUUAAUGGCGGUUUGGGGAACCAAUUAAGCAAGAGACUUGACAUUUAUUGGACCAAGCCCCUGGAUUAGUUAUUGAGAAAACUGGACAAGGUUUGGAACAUAAUCUUGGCAAUCUCAGUCUUCGGAUUAAAAAAAUGAAAAGCGUGAUCCUCUCCCUUGACUUCAAACAACUCCGCUUCUCCUUGAAACCCACUUUCCUUGACGGCAUUAAAAUACCAAAUUCCUCUAUCUCUCAGCUGAUCCUUCUCAGCAACACAAACCAGAAGCCUUGAACAACCAAGCUUAGCCAGAUUCGGCUUGCCUUCACCAACAGGAUUGACCAUUGGAUUAUCAAUACCUCCAGGCGCUGUCGGAUACACAAAUUCCCAACUUAAAUGUAAAAAAUUAUUCUCACGAUUAUCACCAACAGGCUCUGAACCAAUUGGAUUUGAUCCCCAGAAGUAAGGAUGCCCAAGAAAUGCUCCCAAGAUCUUAACACCAGUACUCUCCUUCAAUGAAGACUCUUGAUUAUCAUGAUCACCUUCACCCGCUCGCAUAGCUAUAUUGUGAACUAUAUUGCCUCCUGCGCUGUCACCACCAAUAAAGACUCUCUCAAAAUCGCCGUGGUUCAAUAACAAGGCCUCUUUGUUGUUACUGGAGUAGUUUUCAUGAUCAUCGAUUUUGUUACGAUGAGAUGCAACCCAUUGAAGAGCAGCCCAGCAGUCUUCAUAUGCUGCAGGAAGAGGGUGCUCUGGGGCUAGCCUGUAUUCUACAGAGACUGCGAGUACUCGAGCUUCAGAGACUAAGAUGUUGAGGUAUCUGUGGUUAAGAAAUGAGAAGGCGGAUUCGAUGCAAAAGCCACCGCCAUGAAAGUAGACAAAGAUUGGGAGUUUUUGAUGAUGAUCAGUGAGUUUUGGGAGGUAGAGGCGGGCUGAUAAUGAUAUGGCGGGGUUUUGGGAGAUAUUGGUUAUGUCUUUUGAUGAGACUCCAGUCGUUGGAUCAGCAUCAGGUGAUGAUGGAGGGACAUAAGGUGAGCCUAAAAGACGCUCUACCGAACCAUCUUUGUAGACUCUGACUAAUGGGAGAAGCUCUUUCCCUACUUCUUUGUUUGUGGUUGUGGAUGCCAUUGAAGAUUGAUAAGGGAGGGAGCCGAAUGUCAAGUGGUGAGAUGAGAUUACAUACAGGGUCGUCAGACAAGUAAAAGGGUUGUUCGAAUUAAUUAAUCCGAAGACAGCAGCUCAAUAAUUUUGUUUGUGAUUUAUUUAUUAGUAUAAGUUGUAAGUCGUGUCGCUAGACGCAAAUGUGACUUCGAAAAAAGCUUGAUUGGUUUUACUAGCGUGAAGAUUAAAGAACUAUUUUUAAUUAUCAAGAAUUGAUUUUGUUUGAGGACUAGGUCUGCAAAGAUCGGAUUUUCGUGCAUGACAGGCUCUACCCCAAUAAUAGGUUACAUGUAUUUAAUUAAACGAAUUUCCUAUCGUAUAUGUAUACAUGAAUUGAACUCUAUACUAAAAUAUGAGUCUUUUUUAAGAAUUUAACUAUUCAUCUCUUGUUUUCACCAUACAAAACCACCGACUAAGCUAUCCAUUAGGAGUGUAUUAUAUAAUUGGAGUGGAUUAGGGGCAGUUUUAAUAUUGUCAAAAGUUUAUUCUCUGUUACCGAACGAAAUGGUUAGUUAUCAAAGAAGCCUACUAUUGCACAAGCAAAAGAUACAUCUCAACGAAUUCAAUUUCAGUGAAUAGUCAUAAAAUACAUUUCGAGACAUACAACCAUCACAAUCCAUGAAAAUCAAUAAUGUUUUGUGAAGGUUAUAUUUCAAGCAGUACCUACAACAAUUAACUUGAAGAAGCAACUUACAGUCUACAACCAACAUAACUCUGGCAUCAGGAAAUGAUUAUGAGCCACACUACAAUCAACCAAUUAGGAGCUUCACUUGACUUGAUAUCAGUGAAAAGAUCUACUAUUUUCUGUACAUCAUAACUAGUUAGCGAUCAAGAAUCAAUGACUGGCCAUCUACAGCCGCGAAUUAUGUGGGUUAGGUUUGGUGAGAGCUUUUGCAAAGUAAUUGUGGAUCUCUGGAAUGAUACGCUGGAUCAGAUUAGAAUGCCUGCAAGUUUUCAACAAGCAGAUGGUUUCAGCAAAUGAUUGUAAGAUGUUUAUAGCAGCAGGAAAGUUCACGUGGACACAAAAAUCUACUCCCGUUUUCUACAGGAAAAUAACUAUUGCAGAAUUUGAACAAAGAAAAACAAAAGAAGAUGGCAGGAGAGACAACCAAUAUCAACUUUAAAUGCUGAAGCAAACUUUCCAUUAACAAAUAUGAUUUGCAAAGAGCACAUGGUCACUUUGGCAAUCAUAUAUUUUGCUGCUAUUCCUCUCUUAUCUUUUCCCCAGAGCUUAAAAACCUUAACAAGACAAAAUCCCAUGUGAAGGAUUAAGACAAUUAAUUUUAUGUUGCUAUACUUCUAUUUGACAUCAGUAAAAGGAAUUAUAAGCAACUGAGAUUAUGCAUACAGGCCACAUAUAUAGACCUCAAAAUGCAACAUCAAUAUCUUCUACCUGUAAAAGGUAAUCACUGUCAAGCAUACAAGUGAUCCUAAGAGAUUGGUCAUUAAAUAGUGAACAUACUUAGCAUUCUACAAAAACCCCUUUUCCUCGGUAAGACAAAAUAAUAAAAUAAAAUAAUUGCCAUGGCACAAUGCAUUGAAGAGAAUAACUAUCUUAAAACCGUCCAGCUCAUUAUAAUUUUCUGUGGCAUAACAAAUAAAUUUUAAUUGGGCACCUACCUUAGGACUUGGUCCAACUCUACUUAACUUACCAAAUCACUAAAGUUCCAAGUUAACAGAGUCAAAGAAGAAAGAUGAGGAACAUAGCAGGAUAGUGGGAUCACAUACCCGGGCCUAGUACUCAAUUUAUCAAAGUGCUCCAUGAUAUACAAGAUGCAUGUGUGCCUCAAUGAUAUAGCAUGAAAAGCUUCUGAAAGUUCAUACAUGCUAGAAACAUUUUCCAAAGAUAUAUCCUACAACGAAAAUAGAAUAUUUGAUUAGAAAACUACUUUCAAUUUACAAGCAGCAUUGAGGGAUUAAAAAUUUAUAAAAAAAAAAAAAGGCCUUAUAAGCUCACCUGUGCAAUGGUAUAUUCACAGAGUCGCUUAAGUCCCUCCAAGAGAUACUGAUCAGCCGCUCUAAGGAGAUCUUGUGCAAUAUCCAAUGUAACAUCUACAGAUCCAGUGUAGAUAAAUCUGCAGCAGAAUAAACCAGUAAUCCCAGAAGUUCAAGGGAAAGCAAUUAUAAAGAGCUCAAGUUAAAGGCACAGAAUUCAUCAAA
rnacentral:lncRNA from 1 species